rnacentral:lncRNA from 1 species
UCCCACUUGCAUCCUUCCAGCAUCCCCUGCCAAAUUAACAAGUACUGCAUUGUCUUGUUCUUGUGGACAGGUGGAAAUGGCAUAAUCAUUAACAUUGCUUGAACUUGCUAUGCUUUUAUGUCUUUUGUUGCCAACAUUCAUAGCUAGAAAGGCUGCUUCUUGAACUUCUUUAGGCACCCGAACACAAAUGCCAACACCAUGCCCUCUCUCUCCUGAUAAAUGCCAUUUUAUCCUCGAAAUGGAAGUACCAUUGGCAAAUAAAUGCUCACAAAACUUACACUUCAUGCUUCCAUCAUUUAUAUCUUCAACUUCGUUCCAAAACGGAUCAUCUGAUCUACCCAUUUUGUCCUACAGUUAUUGAAAAUCAUUAAUUGGAAAAGGAAGGUUGAAACUAAAAUAAUAAGUUACAAACAGCAAAGAAACUAAGAAGAAAAAACAAUGAAUUCAAGGCAUGGACUGUUACAACUGAGAAAGAUCAAAUUAUUUAUUUUUGGAAACUGUUGAUGAUCCUAUCUCCAAAGUUUCUCAUUAUAAUUUCUACAACUUGUGUUUUCCUUGAAAGAUUCAAACCAGAGUUACAUGUGAAAAACAAAAUGAAGAAGAUGGAGUAUAAAUAAUCUACCUGGAUUCAAGUUGUUCUUCAAGUGCUGGUUCGCUGAAGUAGUAUUCAGGAAGAAAAACAAGAACAGAGAAGAAUAUAUGGUUUAAAAAUAACAAGGAAGUUGCAAGAUGUUGAGCUCCGGAUGAUUCGAUUCAAUCGGAAAAGGAAGCACUGAUCAUCAGAAAGGUUUAAGAAAUUUGAUGAGGGAAAUCGGGAAAUCAAUGGUAUAAUGAGAUGAGAUUUGGGAGAGCGUUACAGCAGCUAAGAUUAUUGUAUUGUUUGUGAAGAAGGAAGUUGCUAGGAAGGAAGCCACAAACUUUACCUACCAAAGAUUAUAUUAUAAGAUAUGGCAAGUUGCUGUACACCUCAAAUUUGCUUUUCUUUUGUCUAGCGAUGCGUAUAAUUAAAAACUUCAACAAAAGAAUCAGAAGCUAAUUGCUGGCUGAGUUAACGUGUGGACCCACCCCAUUGUUGAAACUUUGAAAAAGCUGACCUGGAAAUGUAAGAGCCUGAAGCUUAGAAAUGUAUUAGCAAUAAAAAUAGUGCUUAGGGGUACUGAAACAACCGUUAAACCUAUGGUUGGAAAUAGAACUCAGGACUCAAAACCCACAGUACUUUGAGAAUUUGUACACGUUAAACGUUUAUCAGGAAAAAAUGUGGAGUCCAUUGAAAUAAAACCACAACUACCUUGAAUAUCUACACAAGUUUUUCCUAAUAAGAAUUCUGGUAGAAAGCCUUGAAUAUGUACAAAAAAAAAUUGCUAAUAAGAAUCAUAGUAUUCUAGAUGAUAAUACCUAUUUGUAAAGCCCAUACAUAUUCUUUAUCUCAAAUUAAUUAUGACAUGGUAACAUCAUGAUUGAUGAAUUUUUGAGUCGAGUUGUAUUUGCUGUGUGUUUUUCCGACUAGUUAAGGUUUUUGUUACGAUGAUGUUAACAUCAAAAGGAAUUUUUACUAUAUAUCCACGAAUGAUACAAAAAUCUAUACUUAAAAAAAAAAAUGAAUUCCUGAACCUAGUCGAAGAACUGUGGCAAAAACUGUUUAAGGAUUCCAACCUAACACAUGAAUGAGGAGAGGCUAGUGAUGAUGGAUCAUGUUCCAUAACUUUAAUCAUGUCGGAAUCGGAAUUAAAGUUAGCUAGCUAGCCUCUGUGGCCCCCGAUCGAAUGCUGAAAGUUUCUGCUUCCAUUUUCCAAAGGGGAAAGGGUGCAGCAAGCGAUCACAAACCAACCAGAUGUAUAAAACGAAACUUUGGUCCUUCUAUUUUCUUGAUUAUGUAUUUACAGUCCCUGUAGAUUUUAUUAUAUGCCCAACUAGGCUUGGUCUUUAUAUAAAAACUUUUCACUUAAUUUUCCUUUUUUUUUUCAAAGUUUUUAUUAUAUGUUUAGAAAAAAAAAAGAAUUAAAAUAACAUUUUUCGUAAACCCAAUGGACUCCAUGAUUCAAGUCGCAGGUUUGGUGGAUUUAGCCACAAAGCUCAUAUCGAUCUAUUAUAUUGUCGUUAACAUAUAUAUAUAUAUAUAUGUUAAAGAUUCAUUUUAAAUGUUUUUUUAAAGCAUUUUGCUUAUUUUAGAUUGAUCUCCAUGAUAUGUUUCGUGUUUGUUAUGUACGAUUAAUUUAUUCUGAUUUGCUUUUUACAAAGUCGCGGGUUUUGUGGGUUUAGUCACAAAGCUCAUGUCGAACUAUUAUGUUGUCGUUUACAUAUUUUUUUUAGAAAAAAAGGAUUCAUUUUUAAUGUUUUUUAAAUCAUUUGGUUUAUUUUAGAUUGAUCUUCAUGAUAUAUUUUGUGUUUGUUUUUAUAUGAUUAAUUUGUUCUUUUUUUUUUUACAAUAUUAUUACAAUCUAUGUCGUAGUAGAGGGCAGACAAUGAUCCUCAUUGUAUUUUAUUAUAUACAAGCAUUGACCUUUUGAUUUAUUUUUAAUUUUUUUUAAAAUAUUAAAAAAUUAUUUUAACAACACUUAUGUCGCACGUUUGCGGCGUCACGACGAAUAUUUAUAUGUCCCACUUUAAAAUCUAAAAUGUAAUAUUCUAUAUUUAUUUGGAAAAUAUGGGGAGACAAGAAAUUCUUGUCGUUUAUUGAUGGAAUGGGAGUCGCCACCUAGUAUUUUGGUCACUAGGAACCCUAACUGGUCUCAGAGAUCGGGUACGAGGACUGGUUGCAUAAAGGGAAGGUAUUAGCACCCCAAAUACGUCUUACCUAAGAUAAGUUGCAUUGUUUGAUUGUCUGAUAAAAGCUAAGGUGUUAUUGUAUUUCUAAUUGUUGGUCUAUUCAUGGUUCAAGAAGAGCCCUCCUCAAUAAGGAGGUCCUUAUUUUAUCGGGUAAAAUCAUAACCAUUCUAACGUCUAUAUACAAACUACAUUUUUAAUAUCAAGAAUACGUUUUACGUAUAAAUUUGUAUCCCAAAUACUAAAACAACCAAAAAAAGAUUUUUAAUUUUUUUUGAAAUAUUGGCCUAGUUCUCGUGGCUCUAACAAACUUGUUGUUAAAGCCUAAAUGCAUACUAAUACAUAUAUUUUUUGAAAUUUCAUUUGUUGUAUGAAAAUAUGAUGUGAUGAUUUUUUUUUUGGAGAGACUAGGCCGUAUGCAUUAAAGCAAAAACAUUUUUUUUAUAUAUAUUUUUUGAUGUCUUGACAAAAAUCGGGUAUUUUAAUACUGGAUUCGUAUCUUUACGGUAUAAAAAUACAAACCAAUAUGAAGCCAUUUUGAUAAAAAUAUGCAGGAAAAUCAACAAUAUUUUUAGGAUUUUUCCGAAUUUUUUUGAAAGCAUAAAAUUUUUAUUUUUAAAUUGUUUUUUGAUGUUUUGACAACAACCGGGUAUUUUAAUACUGGAUUUGUAUCUUUACGGUAUAAAAAUACAAACCAAAUAUUAAGCAAUUUUGAUAAAAAAUAUGCAGGAAAAUCAAAAAUAUUUUUAAGGAUUUUUCAGAAUUUUUGAAAGCAAAACAUUUUUUAUUUAUAAAAUUUUUUUGAUGUUUUUUAAAAAAACUGGGUAUUUUAAUACUGGAUUUGUAUUUUUACGGUAUAAAAAUACAAACCAAUAUUAACCAUUUUGAUAAAACUAUGCAGGAAAAUCAACAAUAUUUUUCAAAGAUCUUUCAGAAUAUUUUUUAAUUUUUUUUAUAUAUAUCCACAUAUAUAUACAUAAUAUAAAACAAUAUAAUAAAUAAUGUAAUAUAUUAUGUGGGCUAGGCCGGGCCGACCCAACUUACUAGGCCAGACUCAGCCCAAAAGGGUUGGGCCGGUCUUGGCCGAACAAACUUCCUUUUUAGCCUGGGCCAGACCCGGCCCAGGCAGCAGGGCUGGGCUAGAACCAUUCUGGCCCACACAAAAAUAUUUCUGGGCUAGAACCCGUCUGGCCCAAAGAAGGGAAAAACCAACAACGAUGGCCAGCAUUAGCCUGGCCCAGCAUAUAACUGAUCGGGGAGGAAUUAUUUCCCCCCUCCCCUCCUCCUGCAUGCGUUCUGCAUGCAGGAGAACAACAAAAUGCAAAAACGAUAAGGGAGAAGAAAAGGUACCUGGCGUGGCGGAGGCGAUGCUGCUAGUCGGACUGCUUCACUGGUGGUGUUGUGGUGGAGGCCGGUGGCGGUGUCAUGGCUCACGGACAGCGGCUCCAAGCGGCGGUGCUGCUGUUUCAAACGGCGGAGGGUGAGGUUAUUGCUCUUCCCUUCUCCUCCGUGUGCCUUCCUCUUCUUUCGUUUUCGGUGGUUUCCCUUUAUCCUCCCGGUUUGUUUUCAAGUUUCCUCCCUCUCAGUUUGGGUUUGCUAGUGGUUCUUUUUGGUUUGGUUCUUUCUCUCCUUUUUCUGCGUUUUCUCUUCUUUUUUUUUCUUCGGUUCGUUCUCUCCGUUCCUUCUUUUAUCUCUGUUUUCGAUUUGCUUUUUUUUUUUGGUUUUUUCGUUUUCGGUUUAUUCCCUCCUCUCUUUAGUUCCUCCUCUCCUCGCGUGCUGGCGUUCAAUCUCCAUUUAUAGGGGGCAAAAGGAGCGGGGCUCAUUAUUGCUGCUCAUGGGGAGCAGGGCAACGCCGGUCGAUUGGCUAAUGGUCGCGGCUGGCAAGGUGCGGCUCCCCCGACUUUUCAUCAUGAGAGUGCAUGGGGGGUCGAGUUUUGGCAGGGCAUGUGGCUAAUGAAGAAAGAGGAAGAAAACGUUUUCUCUUCCCUUGUUGCACGCCCGGGGGAAGAAGAAAGAGGAACAGUGUCGUUCAAAACGACAUCGUUCGGUCCUUUUUUUUUUUUAACACGAAACAGCGUCGUUUUAGAAGAAAAUGUUUUCUCUUCCCCUGCUGCACGCCCGGGGGAAGAAGAAAGAGGAACAGUGUCGUUCAAAACGACAUCGUUCGGUCCUCUUUUUUUUUUUUUUAAACACGAAACGACGUCGUUUUAGACAAAACGCGCCAUUUCAUUUAAAUCAAAAAAGGGCGCCAAAAGGAGUCAAUGUCCAAGUCAGUCCUUAAUUAUAUUUUUUCAUUUCAAUUGCAUCCUUGAAAAAAUCAAGCGCCGCCCUUAUAUUUGGCCGUCUUUUCCACUUUGGUCCUUGGUCUCUGAUUUAUGCAAUUUUCCCUCAAUUAAUCAAUAAACUUUCAAUUUCUUCAAUUUAGCCCCUGAUUUUGUUAAUUACAGCCCCUAUAUUUACGCGUCUUUUCCAAUUUGGUCCUUGGCUUCAGAUUUCCUCAAUUAAGUCCCUAAUUGGCCAUUAAACUUCAAUAUUUAUGCAAUUAAGCCCCUGAUUUGACCAAAUCAACUCUUAAAAAUUAUAAUUUGACCCAGAACUUUAAUUUGUUCCAAUUAAAGCCCAAAUUGACUUAAAAAUCAAAUUUUCUUGCAAUCAAACUCUCUAUAAAUUCAAUUAAACUUGCAAUAAAAUCCAAUUAAGUCCAUAAACAUCCAAUUUUGAACUUCUCUCUUCAAAUUGAAUUCCAACAGGGCUCUCAUCAUACUAUCAAAUUUUUAAUUUUUGUAUUUUUAUCCUCCUUAAUUAAUUUUUCUGACCAUUUCCUGAGCGCUCCCGCCUCCUAUUUUUUUUUUCUAAUUUCUUCCGGCUAUAUAUUUAUUUAUUUAUUAUUAUUAUUAUUAUAUUUAUUUUAUUUUAUUAUUUAUUAUUAUUUUAUUAUUUAUUUUUAUUUUUAUUUUUUGUAGGGACCCAAAAAUGGGUUGCAACAACUUAUAUGUUCAUUCUUUAGUGUUAAGAAAAUUAAAUGUAUACAAAAUGUGGUUCAAAUAACUCAAAUUGUAUUUAUACAGCUAAAUGUUUUUCUCUUUAAUAAAUCCAUUGUUGGAUUUGAAAUUUAUAGCAUAUUUUAUAACUCAAAAAUGAAGAUUUGGUUUGGUUUUUAAGUUUUUUAUUUUUGUAAAAUUGAUUGAAAAAAAGUCGAUCGGGUAAUGUCGGCCUGGCUCGAAUCGGCAAAAUCAAAGACACAAAUGAAUAAUAAAUUUCAAUAUUCAUGGUUGAAGACCGGUGGAGCAAAAUCCAACUCUGAUCUAGAGUGUGUUUGAAAAUGCAAUGCAAACCGUGUUCCCUCAUAAUUUAAUUUUUUUUGCUUAAGAUUAUUUUUUUUAUAUUUUUAAAUUGUUUUAAUGUGUUGAUGUCAAAAUUAAUUUAAAACAAUAUUAUUUUAAUGUAUUUUUAUAUAAAAAAAUAUUUUAAAUCGUAACUGUUAUCAUACACACCCUAAUCUUGAGACUUUUUAUGGAACUCUUAAUUUUCAAGAGAGCCUUAACCAUUCCUUUAUGCAAGUGUACGCUUUGCCAAACAAUCCUUUAGGAAAAGGGGUUGCCCUCCCUCCGACGACUUGCCAUAACAGGCCAGGACUAAUUUCGACUCUUCGUUGGCGAAUGAUGACACUGCUCUACAUCCUUGACCAUUUCAAUUCCGAGAAACUCCCCCACCAUCCCAUAAAAAAGUUGUCCUUUUCUUUGAAGAAUUUUCCCAAUUAGUCCUUAUAUUGAAUUGAUCACACGUAAAUAAACUAUUUUUAUAAAUUUGAGUUGAGUUAAUUUACCAAACUCAUAAAUCAAUCAUAUAAUAAACUAUUUUUAUAAAUUUGAUCACAUGUAAAUAAAGUUUAAUUAGUACAAGACACUAUUGAGUACAAUGACGUUACAUAACUUAAAGAAUAUAUAUAUACAUAACUUAAAGAAUACACACACACAAAGCACAAAUAAUAAUAAUUUUGGAUGCAAAACACAGGUGGAGCAAGAAAUUCCACCCCAAGAAAAAUCCAAAUAUAAGUUCUUCCAACUUUCUUUGUUUCCCAAGAAAUCGAGAAUGCUAGUUUCAUUCAUCAAAAUUAUAAAUCCUAUAUUUAGAUAAAUUAGUGCAAAAUACCUAUAAACUAUAUUAUAAGAUAUAGAAAGCUAACGUGUGGAGUCUGUGGACCCACCCAAUGUUCAAACUUUGAAGAAGCUGCCAACAAAAUGUAAACACAUGAAUAUGAGAAAGAAUAACACAUUUAAAGUUUCUUUUAAAAAAAUAUUUUUUAUUUAAAAAUAUAUUAAAAUAAUAUUUUUAAUUUUUUUUAUAUUACCACCUCAGAACAAUUCAAAAAUAUUAAUAGCAAGCAGUCACUUGAUACAUUUUUACAGACUUUUGAUUAACCCCACUCAUUUGAGCCCUGUUAUUGGUUAAUGGUUAUCAACAACUCUCCAUCCCGUUACCUUUCCGGCUCUCCCUAGAACAACCAACCCCCAGCAAAAAUGCUACAUUUAGAAUCAUAUCCAGAAAAGCAAAAGCCAGAAAAGCAAAAACCAGAAACAAGGAUGAAUAUACCACUGUAGCUUUUGAUGUUUACCGGUUUUGGAAAUGCGCUUACGCUUUUAAAUGUUUUUUUAUGUUUGUUUUUAAAAAGUAAUAAUUUGAUAAUUUUUUAGUAUUUUUAAUAAUUUUAAUAUAUUAAUAUUAUGGAUUGUUGUUGUAUUUGAUCUGAUGACGAUAAAUUCUGAAAUAUUAUUUAAUCUUAUUGAUUCUGAAAAAAUAUAAUAUUUUAUAAUAUUAUGAAAUGUCGUGUGAAUUUUAUAUGUAUUUGUUUUAUUGAUUUAAUUUUCUAUUUCCUGUAUAUGCUACGGAGAUGAAUUAAUCUUCAUUGUGAAAAUGUUCUCUCAUGCUCCUAAAUUCUUACAUUUUUGUUAACAAUAAGAGAUGAAGAGGAGUUGGGUAUGGAGGUGAAGGUAUAAUUAAUGCAACCAACAAAUGAUACAGAAUAAGCUCAGAUCAAGAGAACAAUCGACCAAUUUUUCAACAUCCAAGUUCUUGUAAUCUCACAAACUCUCGAGACCCAAACCCAAUCAACGGAGAGAACCUUUAUUUGUUAAGGCUCCAUAUACUUUCUCGACAAGAACCGGAGAAGGAGGCUGUGGGGUGUUCGAUGGUUGAAAAGGGAACGUGGAUUAUGUUCUCCGACGGUUUCAACUCAUGCAUUCAAUUCCAGGCAAUAGCUGAGAUUUCGUAAUCUGUAUAUUGAGUGACUUUUUGGAGAGGGAGGGGCAGCGCGGGAACGAAAAGGAAAGGUAGCAGCCUCAAGCCUCGCCAAAAGCCCAAGAGAAUAUGCUCAGAUCAAGAGGACAAUCGACACAAUUGUCCCUUCCAAUUUUUGUCUCUCUUCCUUGAACUCUUAACUCAGCAUCUAUCCCUUUUACUCAGACAAAACUACCAGGCACUAAUAGAAAACUUCAUUUUGAUGUUUUUUUUUUUUUUUUAAAUCACAGAAAAAACCACUUUAUGUUGCUCAUAAAGACAGAAAAAACUUAAAAAUACAAAUUAAAAAAUCUUAAGGAAUUGAUUAACCAAUCCUUUUAGUUUUUUUAUGUUGUCUAUAAAGUCAGAAAAAACUUAAUAAUACAGAUUAAAAAAUCUUUGUACAAGAAAAAUAGGAUGAAUUUUUGUACAAGGAAAAAAAUUCCAAGUCAUGUAAUUCGAUUAUCAUUUUUUUUUUUAAAUUGUCUUAUGUCUCUCUCUCUCUUUUUCUUUUUAAUCUGUAUUAUAUAUUUUAAAAGAAUAAUUUGUUGCUAGUAAAUGAUAUAAGAUGAUUUGUAAUAGUGAAUAGAUAUAUUAUUUUAUUAGGUUACUUUAAUGAUAAAUCAAUAUAGUAUUUUUAUUUUUUUGGAUUUUCAUCUUGGAGAAACUCAAUAGGAUGAAAAUAUAAUAUUAAUCAAACUUCAAAUUAUAAUUAUUUAUCUAUCGAGUUAAAAAAAGGUACAAAGAGACGAAGGACUAUUUCAAUAUUAAUUAAUAAGAUUAUCCUUGUUGAUUUAAAGGACUAUUUUCAUCAUUUAUGUCGAAAAUAAUUAUGUUUUGCACAUGAUUUUUAACAACAAUCAUUGAAAGAAUGAUAUAUUAUUGAAUAUGAUCAAAUUUAAGGUUACAAAAAUAAUUAGUAUUCUUACAACCAAAGGAUUACCAAUACGGGAAUGAUGGUAAACCAAACUUUACAAAGGGACGAAGAACAUCCUUUGCAUUAGGAUGCUCCCACUCCACUACUGUCUCCCACCAUUCUUCUGGAUAUGCUCGGAUGUAUUUAAGAGAAAGGGGAGGGGAUGGCUGGCCAUUUUCAAGCAACGAAAGACAAAAUGACAUCCUCUUCAUCUUCUGACAAUUUCGUACUGUAAUGCUUUGGAGAGAAUCGCAAAUCAGUUUAGCAUUGCAAAUUCUUUUCAGUUCUGGUAACCAAAACAAUUCCAGAUUUCUUAACUUUGGGAGAAUGACUUCCGUGAUGGAAUUGGAGGUGCUGCUUUCUUCAUCUGUUGUUCCUAUUAUCUCCUCCAUUUUCUCACAAUUCUCCACAACAAUCACUUCCAGGUUUACGAGCUUUGGCAGCAACACAAGUCCCACCAUUCCUAUUGUCUCCCACCAUUCUUCUGGAUAUGCUCGGAUGUAUUUAAGAGAAGGGGGAGGGGAUGGCUGGCCAUUUUCAAGCAACGAAAGACAAAAUGGCAUCCUCUUCAUCUUCUGACAAUUUCGUACUAUAAUGCUUUGGAGAGAAUCGCAAAUCAGUUUAGCAUUGCAAAUGCUUUUCAGUUCUGGUAACCAAAACAAUUCCAGAUUUCUUAACUUUGGGAGAAUGACUUCCAUGAUGGAAUUGGAGGUGCUGCUUUCUUCAUCUGUUGUUCCUAUUAUCUCCUCCAUUUUCUCACAAUUCUCCACAACAAUCACUUCCAAGUUUACAAGGUUUGGCAGCAACACAAGUGGGAACAACUUCUUCAUACUGUUACAGAGAUAACAAUAAAACUCUUUAAGACCAGAAAACGUACCGUUACAUGAUGGAAAUCGUGGUGGAGCAUAGCAGAACCAAGAAGAUGAAACCAAGCUCUCCAUGCUACCGCAACCAUAAAUGAUGAUGUGCUCCAGUUCAGUUGCAUUCUCUAAUGACAAAACAUCACAUAAACUUCUUGUAUCGAUGCAUCGACAAACCAGUCCUUGAAUUCCAUUUAAGAUCAUGACCUGAAAAUCUCCAUCUCCGUUGAUACUCAAAUUACCCAACCCAACUGUUUUACUUGGAUAAUUUUUGCGUACCCAAAAAUCUCGAUCCACCAUUCCUACUAAAAUUGUGCAUGUGCUUAAUGAUUGAAUCCCAUCCCGAGAUCUGAGAUACUCCACGAAGUCAGGGAGACCUUCGAAAUGGCAUUCCAAAGUUUCCAGAUUUCUCAAGGAUCCUACUUCCUUUCCUUUAACUGUUAUCGGAGCAUCCAUAAACUCUUCUAGUACAAAGACUUGCAGGUGAGAGAGUUUUGGUAAUAUCCCACUAGGAAACUCCUUUUCACCACAUCCAUUCAUUCUAAGAUACCUCAGGUUGGUUAGGCAUUCCAUUCCUUGCGGCAUAUUUUCAAGCGCGGUACGAGAGAGAGCCAACCUCUUCAGUUCCUUGAGCUUCUUUAAUGAUGGAACAUGUUUUAAUUUCCCACAAGAAUUGAGCAAUAAUGCAGUGAGACUCACCAAAUCAGAGAAAGAGUCUGGCAAAUUUUCAAUACCUGUCCAAGACAGAUCGAGGACCUUGAGCCCAUGCAAUUGCUUGAAAAAUGAAUCCGCUAUAGAUCCCAACCGUUGAUUAUAACAUAGAAGCAGAGUGGACAGAUUUGAACAAAUUGGUGAAUGGCCGAAAGGAAUUUCUUCGAUCUCGUUUAGUACUAGUGAAACUAUCGUCAAAUUCUCCGUCCACUCCUCUGCAUCUGGCAACUCUUUUAAUUGCGCACCUGCUUUAACCAUGCCUUGAGAGUUCUCUAGCAGUAUUUGGAUGGCCAUGUCCCUAAUCAAGUCAUGCAUCUUGACACGUCUACAACCAAACAUCAUUUGAGCUCUUUCUAAUAGGCAAACAUAUUCAAGUCUAUUAAGCAUCGUGUGGCCCUCGUCAAAUGCAUCUUCCCUUCUCCUCAUUCCUUUAAUUAUUCCCUCGUCGAUCAAAUAACCUAUCAACUCCUCCCUUCCAAUCCAAUAAUCUUCAGGAAAUAAUGCACAGUACAAGAGACAUUGUUGUAGUGCUAGAUCAUCUAACCGAUCAUAACUAAACCUCAAUAACUUGAAUACUUCCUUGUCCCUAAAUUCUGAUUCUUUCAAUUUGUUCAAUGUAUUUCUCCACUCAUGUAGGUCAUCCACUCCCCUCAAGCUUCCUGCCACUGUAAUAAUUCCCAAUGGCAAACCAGCACAUUUCCUUGCAACAGCUUCCGCAAUUCCUUCCACUUCUGGUGAAAGUGCUACAUCAUGUCCAAGUUUCUCCAUGAACAAAAUCCAAGCUUCUCCCUUAGAAAGUGGCUUCACUUUGAUUUUGUGCUGGCAAGUCAUCCGAUGACAAACUGUUUCUGAUCGAGUUGUCAAAAUCAGCUUGCAUCCUUUCAACUUCUCAGGAAUUCCCACUUUGUGUAGCUCAAAAUUGUUCCACAAAUCAUCUAAAAUAAGAAUCCAUUUUUGUUUCUUCCUUAGUUCUUCUGACAAUUUAGCAGCUCUAUGCAGUUCAUCAUGUUUUCUUGAAAGAUCUAGAUCAAGAUGUUCAGCAAUAAGAUUCUGCAAUCUAUUAAUGCUGAAAUCUUGAGACACAGUCACCCACCAAACAUGAUCACAAAUAUCUGGUCUUUGUAGAAGCUCAUUAUGGAUAUGUUGCAGUAUUGUGGAUUUACCAACUCCCCCAUCCCAUAAAUGCCAAUGGUUGAGACUUCCCCAUCCAUUAACAAAGACCAUAUCUCAUUCGUAUUCUCUUCGAAUGCUUGACCCACUGGUUUUGUAGAGCUAGUAGGUAAUGGAACUCCUCUAGUCUUGUUGUAUUUCAGACUUUCAGAAGAUCUAGCUCCAGCACCAACCUGCACUGAUCUUCGACUAUUCUCCACAUCCUCCUCCACUAAUUCUGUCCUCACUCUAACCCGAUUAAUUCUCUCUUCCCCGGCACCUUGUUCCAGCACCCCCUGAACUCCCACUUGUAUCCUUCCAGCACCCCCUGCCAAAUUGCCAAGUACUGCAUUUCUUUGUUCCAACGAUCGAUCCACUUGUUCUGUCCUCGGUCUGCUCUUGAGUGCCCCUUCAGAAACUCCAUCUUCUUGUGCUCUCAUUCCGGUCAUGCUUACUACGUCGUUUCCUGCUAUUGCAUGUGAAGUAAUUCUCUCUUCCCCUACUCCGGGUUCUACAACCUGAACUUCUCGUUGUACCCUUCCAAUUCCUCCUUCCGUAUUUUCAAUCUCAAUGUUUUGUUCUUGUGGACAAGUUGAAAUUCCAAAAUCAUUAACAUUGACUGAACUUGCUGUGGUUUUAUGUCUUUUGUUGCCACCACACAUAGCUAGAAAGGCUGCUUCUUGAACUUCUGUAGUCACCCCAGGACAAAUGGCAACAUUAUGCCCUCUCUUUCUUGAUAAAUGCCAUUUGAUCCUCGAAAUGGAAGUAUCCUUGGCAUAUGUAUGUGGACAAAACUUACACUUCAUCCUACCAUCAGCCCUAUAUUCAACAUAAUUCCAAAACGGAUCAUUUGAUCCAACCAUUUCGACCUAUAGAAAAAAAGGGGGGGUCAAAAUAUAGAAUAAAAAUCAGUCAAAAUAAAGAAUAAAAAUCCUAUCUGGAUGGAUGAGAAACUACUUCAGUACUGUUACCCCUAUUUUGCUAUUAAAAUUGAGAGUUAGUUUAUAGCACAAUCAUAGGGGAAAAAAAGACUACGAUAAUUCAGUUAGACUUCUUACUUGUUGAGAAUUUAAACCCCUAUUUUGACUUUGCAAGGAAGUGUCAGGGCCAGGAUUUGAGGCAUUUGGCCUAGCAGUUUGAUUUCGCAAUCCUCGGACUUGGAGGUUAUCCAUCUGUGACCUAUAUAAAAAUGAAGUGAUCAUAUUAUAAAACCUUUCGAUAAUUGGUAGUCUCUCUCAAGCACUAAAAAUCAAUGGUGUAUCUAAUUAUCGAAAAGGUAUUAAUACUAUGUAGAAAACCUAAUUUUUUUUAUUACAGAAAAUACUAAAAAUGAAAAAUUGGAUACCAUGGAGCAGGAAAAGAAGGUCCAGGUUGAUUGAAGCCACCAUGUUGUGAAGUGGUUGCGUUCGGUGUCAUAUAGCCAUGUCCCGGCUGAGGUUGAUGAAUAAGGGAAUUAUGAUGCCUUGAUGGAGUUUGAGGCCAAUUUGGUUCAUUUUGGUUGAUCCAUGAUGAUGAUGUUCCAUCCAAACCUCCCAUUGUUGUCUGUUUGUUUAACAAUAAACAAUUAGAAGAUGCUCGAGAUAAAUCGAUACACUAAACUUUUUGUAUAAUACAAACACUUGCUAAUUCAAUGGAUAUUGUAGCGAAUUGGAGCAAGCAUGAGUACUCACCAUGGUUUCCGGAAAUGAAGUUGGAAACUGAGUUGUACUAUCGUUGAUCACAUUGUUCCAUCCAAACCUCCCUUGAUCAUUGCCUUGGUUGACUGGAACCUCCGAUGCCGGCCUGCUUCCAUGGAAUAAUAGGAUAAACUGAAGAAUAACUAAAUUGCAAGCAAUCAUCUUCUGAUAAAAUAUGCUUAAGAAUGACGUACGAGAGAAGCUCAGAUAUAUUGAAUGUAUCAUCUUCUGAUUGAAAAUCCAGCUGAUCCCAUGUCAUGUUGUCAACCUCCUCCAUAGAAGAUGGUUGGAACCCUUCCAUCUGACCAGAAAAGAUCAGAAAAGACAAAAAAAAAACUGAGGUCUAAAAUGAACAGAAAGCACAGAUCAGAAAAGAAUAUAUAUAUCCCAUUGCUGUCUGUUUGUUUAACAAUAAACAUUUUGAAGAUGCUCGAGAUAAAUUGAUACACGAAAACAUAAAACUUUUUUAUCCAAUGGGUGAUACAAACACUUGCUAAUUCAAUGGACAUUGUAGCAAAUUGGAGUAGGCAUGAGCACUCACCAUGGUUUGAGGAAAUGAAGGUGGAAACUGAGUUGUUUGUUGAAUACUAUCGUUGAUCACAUUGUUAUCCACUACCAUGUUCUGUCCAACAUGAUCAUUGCAUAACAUGAAGCUUUGGUUGCCUGGAACCUCCGGUGGCGACCUGCUUCCAUAGUCAGUAACAUUAUUGUUUCUUGGGAAUAAACUAUUGAAGAAUAACUAAAUUGCAAGCAAUCGUCUUCUGAUAAAAUAUGCUUAAGAAUGACGUACAAGAGAAGCUCAGACAUGAAUGUAUCUUCUAGUGAUUGAAGAUCGAACAGAUUCGAUGUCACGUUGACAUCAUCCUCCAUAGAAGAUUGUGGGAACCCUUCCAUCUGACCACAAGUACAAGACGAUUAGUAUGUACUGAGGUGGAAAAAGAACAGAAAGCUCAGAUCAGAAAAGAAUAUAUAUAUUAAAAAAAUAAUUAUGACUUGCUUAUUUGUUAAAGAAAUAAGGAUGAAAAAUAGGAAAUAUAAAUGUUGUUGUUAAUGAUUUAACCCUUUGUAUUUAAAGCUAAAUUAUCAUACUCAAAUUCUAUCCUAAAACUCUAGAAUGAUAGAUAGAAAGAUGCAGAAGAGGAUAACUGUUGAAGAAAGCAGGGGAAGGAAGGUCGAAGAGCUGAUUGUUUUGACGGGGUGAACAAAAACCUCUUUCAACUCCUAUUUAUUCAUAAUUUGGGGAGCAAAACAAAUGCAAGAUAUUGUUUUGUUCAAAAAGAUUCAGGUAAUUAUUGAUGAUCAAGUUAAUUCAUUGAAUCAUUGUAAGUUGAAAAAUAUUGAAUAAAAAUAAAUGGCAGUCCCAUUAAUUGGAAAAGAAAAGGGUGAAUCUAAAAUAAGGAGUUAAAAACAACAAAGAAUCUUGAAAAGACGAAAACAACGAAUUCAGUAUUAAUUUAGUAUGAACUCCACAAGGCAUGGAUUAUAAAAUCCGAGAAAAAGAUCAAUUUAUUUAUCAUGGAUUCCUUUAAAGAUUCAAACCAUACUUGCAUAUAUAAAAACAAAAACACCACCAAGAUAAAGUACAAAUAAUUAACCUGGAUUCAAGUGCUGGUUCGCUUGAGCAGUAAUCAGCCAAAAAAGAGAGGAGAAAUCACAUAAAUCUAGUUCGCACUGGUUAGAUGUGGAAAGGAAAAGAGGUAGAAGAUGAUUAGUACGUCCUGAGGAUUAAAAGAGAAGAGAAAUCACAGAUCGGAGAAGAUUAUAUGAUUAGAAAACUAAUAAAGUUGCAGUCUACAUAAAUUAUUGUUUUGUUAUAUGUGGAAGGAAGUUGCUAGGAAGCAACCCACUACUUUACCUACCCAAUUAUGAAAGCUUAGAAGAAGAUGCCUAGAAAAUGUGAUUAAUAUGUGAUUAAUAGGUGGUGGCCAAGAGUUUGGGACCAAGAGGUUUGAUUUCUAUGUGGUAUCAGGUUCGAGCCCUGGGUUGCUCAUAUGAUAGCCACUGGAGGCUUACAUAGUCGUUAACUUCAGGGCCUGUGGGAUUAGUCGAGGUAUGCGCAAGCUGAUCCGGACACACGUUUAACUAAAAAAAAAUACAUAUAUUAUAUUAUAAGAUAUAGAAAGUUAACGUGUGGACCCGCCCCAAUGUUGAAACUUCGAAGAAGCUGCCAAGAAAAUGUAAACACAUGAAAUUUUCAAAAAAGAAUAGUAUAUUUAUUAGGUUACUUUAAUGAUAAAUCAAUAUAGUUUUUAUUUUUAUUUUUUAUUUUUGGAUUUUCAUCUUGGAGAAACUCAAUAGGAUGAAAAUAUAAUAUUAAUCAAACUUCAAAUUAUAAUUAUUUAUCUAUCGAGUUAAAAAAAAAGUACAAAGGGAUGAAGGAUUAUUUCAAUAUUAAUUAAUAAGAGUAUCCUUGUUGAUUUAAAGGACUAUUUUCAUAUCGAAAAUAAUUAUGUUUUGCACCUGAUUUUUAACAAAAAUGAUUGAAAAAUGAUAUAUUAUUGAAUAUGAGCAAAUUUAAGAUAACAAAAAUGAUUAGUAUUUUUACAGAUGGAUAGAAUUGAUAAAUGAUGCAACAAAAAAGGAUACGUAUUAUUACAUUUAACGGAGUAAUUAACCAUUCUACAUAUUAAUUAUUUCGAGAGAAAAAGGUUCUUUGGACAUCCUUUGCAUUAUGAUAGAAUUGAUAAAUGAUGCAACAAAGAAGUAUUCUAACAACGAAAGGAUUAACAAUACGAAAGGUACAAUUCGAUUGAGAGAGAUUAUGCUUACCCUCUAUUCUAUAUUAUAUUAUAUUAAGGGCAGAGUAGUCUUCUCCUAUACAAAGUGUACAAAGGGAAGAAGGACAUCCUUUGUAUUAGGAUGCUCCCACUCCACUACUGUCUCCCACCAUUCUUCUGGAUAUGCCUUGAUUUUUCUAAGAGAAGGGGGAGGAGAUGGCUGCCCAUUUUCAUGCAACGGAAGACAAAUUGGAAUCCUCUUCAGCUUCUCACAAUAUAUUACAGUAAUAUAUUCAAGAGAAUUGCAUAUCAAUUUUACACUGCAAAUGCUUUUCAAUUCUGGUAAAUGAUACAAUUCCAAAAUUCUUAAGUUUGGGAGAAUGACUUCCGUGAUGGAAUUAGAGGUGCUGCUUUCUUCAUCUGUUGUUCCUAUUAUCUCCUCCAUUUUCUCACAUCCACUAAUUUCAAUAUGUGUAACAGGUUUAUAAGGUUUGGCAGCAAUACAAGUGGGAACACCUCCUUCAUACUGUUACAUCCACCACAAUAAAGCCUUUUAAGACCAGAAAACAUACCAUUAUAUGAUGGCAAUGGUGGUGGAGCAGAGCAGAACCAAGAAGAUGAAACCAUGCUCUCCAUGCUAUUGCAAUCCCCAAUGUCGAUUUCCUCCAGUUCAGUUGCAUUCUCUAAUGACAAAAUAUCACAUAAACUUCUUGCAUCGAUGCUUUCACAAACCAGUCCUUGAAUGCCAUUUAAGAACAUGACCUGAAAAUCUCCAUCUCCGUUGAUACUCAAAUUACCCAACCCAACUGUUUUACUUGGAAAAUAAUUAUUGCCAAACCAAUAAUUUAAACUCACCAUUCCUACUAAAAUUUUAUAUGUGCUUAAUGAUUGGAUCCCAUCCCGAGAUUUGAGAUAGUCCACGAAGUCAGAGAAACCUUCAAAAUGGCAUUCCAAACUUUCCAAAUUUCUCAAGGAUCCUACUUCCUUUCCUUUAACUGUUAUCGGAGCAAUCGUAAUCCCUUUUAUUACAAAGACAUGUAGGUGAGAGAGUUUUGGUAAUAUCCCACUAGGAAACUCCUUUUCACCACAUCCAUCCAUACUAAGAUACCUCAGGUUGGUUAGGCAUUCCAUUCCUUGCGGCAUCUUUUCAAGCCUAGUAUAAGAGAGAUCCAACCUCUUCAGUGCCGUGAGCUUCUUUAAUGAUGGAACAUGUUUUAAUUCAUCACACUUACUAAGCAAUAAGGCAGUAAGACUCGCCAAAUUAGAGACAGAAUCUGGCAAAUUUUUAAUACCUGUGCGAGACAGAUCAAGGACCAUGAGCCUAUGCAAUUGCUUGAAAAAUGAAUCCGCAACAAAUCCCAACCCUUUAUUAUCACAUAGAAAUAGAGUUGACAGAUUUGGACACAUUGGUGAAUGGUCGAAAGGAACUUCUUCAAUCUCGUUUUGCAUUAGUGAAACUAUUGUCAGAUUCUUCGUCCACUCCUCUGCUUCUGGCAACUCUUUUAACUGCGCACCUGCUUUAACCAUGCCUUGAGAGUUCUCUAGCAGUAUUUGGAUGGCCAUGUCCCUAAUCAAGUCAUGCAUCUUGACAUGUCUAAUAUCAUCAUAAUCCAUUUGAGCACUUUCCAAUAGGCAGACAUAUUCAAGUCUAUUAAGCAUCGUGUGGCCCUCGUCAAAUGCAUCUUUCCUGCUCCUCAUUCCUUUAAUUAUCCCGACAUCGAUCAAAUAACCUAUCAGCUGCUCCCUCUUAAUCCUAUGAUCUUCAGGAAAUAAUGCACAGUACAAGAGACAUUUUUGGAGUGCUGAAUCACCUAGCCGUUCAUAACUAAACUUCAAUAACUUGAAUACUUUAUUGUCCCUAAAUUCUGAUGCACUCAAUUUCUUCAAUGUACUUCUCCACUCAUGUAGGUCAUUCACUCCCCUCAAGCUUCCUGCCACUGUAAUAAUUCCCAAUGGCAAACCAGCACAUUCCCACAAAGCUUUUGAUUAUGUGUUAUGGGAAUACAUCAAUGAAGUAAUGGUUGCUAUGGGCUUCGGGAGCAGGUGGCGAGGUUGGAUCAUGCAAUGCAUUUCAAUAGCAAAGAUGUCUGUGCUAGUCAAUGGAUCUCCAACGACAGAAUUUAACUUGGAAAAAGGUCUACGACAAGGAGACCCCCUCUCACCUUUUCUUUUCAAUAUUGCAGUUCAGGGAUUGAGUUGUCUGUUGCAGCAAGGUUGUGAUUUGGGUUUGAUCGAGGGUAUUAAGAUUGGCCAGGAUGGAUUUUCAUUAUCUCAUCUUCAAUUUGCAGAUGACACUCCUAUAUUCAGCUCAAACUCUUUACUUGGUAUGCAGAAUAUCAAGCGCAUCCUUUUAUGUUUUGAAUUAAUGUCAGGUCUGAAGGUUAACUUUUGUAAAAGCAGCAUCUUUGGUGUGGGUAUAGAUGAUCAUAUAUGUAAUUACACUGCUCAAAUUCUUCGAUGUAAGCAGGAGCGCCUCCCAUUCAAAUAUCUUGGCCUCCCCAUUGGUGCAAACUCUUGUAGAACUUCGAUGUGGAAACCUAUUCUCCAUAAUAUCAGUGCUAGGCUGGCUUCGUGGAAAGGCAGACUUCUAUCUAUUGGGGGUAGAUUGUGCUUAAUCAAAUCUGUCUUAGGAAAUUUGCCCAUUUACUUUCUCUCUUUGUUUCCUAUGCCUGCGACAAUUGCAACCUCCAUUGAAAAGAAAUUCAGAGCCUUCUUGUGGUCAGGAAAAGAGGAAGGCAAAAAAAUAUGCAAUGUUAGAUGGUCAACUAUUUCUCUGCCGAAAAAUGCUGGUGGUCUUGGGAUCGGAUCUCUAAGGGACAAAAACAAAGCACUGAUGUUCAAAUGGUUAUGGAGGUUUGGGUCGGAGGAGUCGAGCAUGUGGAAAGAUGUGAUUACCAGCAUAUACAACACUAAAUGCUCCACAAUUAUUCCGAAAUAUCCUAUUGCAGGCACUGGAACAACUUGGUCUCGUAUUAUUAAUCAUUGUGUUUCAGAUUAUAGUCUGCAAGACAUUGUGAAACGUUAAGCUGUUAUGCUAGUUGGAAACGGUAAGAGGAUUAAAUUCUGGCUUGAUGACUGGACAUCUACUGGUCGCCUGGCAGAUCAGUUUCCUUCCCUAUUCCGGUUAUCCGAUGAUAAAGAAGCAAGCCUUGAUAAGAUGGGAAUAUGGGAUGGUCAUGCUUGGUUCUGGCUAUUAAACUGGACUAGACCCUUGCGAGGUAGAAACUAUAGUCUUCUAGACCAAUUGAAUGCCAUUCUUUUGAAAGUACAUCCGGAUAAAGAUGAUGAGGAUAGAUUAGUUUGGAAAGCCAACUCCACUGGUAGAUUCUCGGUCAAAUCUCUUUGUGGGCUGCUAAGUCCCAAUCCCCCUAUGGACACUAGCUUCUCUUUUUCUGGGAUUCGAAGAGGAAUCGUCCCUCCUAAAGUUGAAAUAUUCUGCUGGAUGGCUAUCAUUAAAAAAAUUAAUAAUCGUAGUAUGCUGGUCAGAAAAGGAAUUUUGGACAUCUCAGCUGCUGCAGCUUGUCCAAUUUGCUUUGUUGAGGAAGAAUCAGUGGAUCAUAUAUUGCUGCAUUGUCACAAACAUUGGAUAGUUUGGUCUAAAAUUAUCAAUUGGUGGGGCUUAGCGUGGUGUUGCCCAAAGGACUUGGCGGCUCUUUUCUCUUAGUGGGAUUCCUUGGUUUAUGGAAAAUUUCAAAAAAAAGCUUGGUUGAUGUUGUUCUUUUCAGUGACAUGGUCUCUUUGGCUUCUUCGUAAUGAUGUGAUAUUCAAGCAAACAACCCCGAAUUAUGAUACUUUGUUUAUCCUUAUUAUUACUCGUCUCUGCUUUUGGAUAAAGGCUAUAGAGCCUGAUUUCUCUUAUUCCGCUUCAGAAUUAAUAAGGUCAGCAGAAGGGCUGGUUCGAUGGACUAAUUCUUCAAAUCAUAGGGCAGUUGUUGUGUGGUCCCCCCCUAUGACUAAUUGCUUCAAAUGGAAUGUGGAUGGUUCCUCUCUUGGGAAGUCUGGCCCCUCAAGUAUAGGCGGAGUCUUGCGAAAUCAUCAUGGGAUUCUUCUUGGUAUAUUCUCCUCGCCAGUUGGGAUUUUAGACUCCAAUGUAGCUGAACUAAAAACGGUUGUCAAAGCUAUUGAAUUAUCAGCUUCUAACUGUCAUCUGCAUUAUAAACACAUUAUUGUUGAAUCUGACUCGACCAAUGUCAUUAGCUGGAUGAAUAACCCUCAUAAUAGACCUUGGCUGCAUCAUAAUCUUUUCUCCUCUAUUCAGAGAGUAGCUUCAUGUUUUGGUUCACUCACAUUCACUCAUUCUCUUCGUGAGAGUAAUCAUAUGGCAGAUCACAUGGCAAAAAAGGGGGUGUUUAGAAACUCUAAAUGGGUCGCUUGGCUCUAAUCUGCUUGAUAUUUGGGCCUUUCUUUUUUCUUUAAAUUCUGGUUGCGGAUGCAAAGGAAACUGGAUUGUUUCCCAGAUUACUCUAUUUUUAGAAAGGAGAAGAAUCAUCAAGCUAUACAGAAGCAAUUCCAGCUGGUCAGAUCUUUGUCUUUUGUGAAACUUCUUGGUUUCAGAUUCUGAUGUUGUAAGUCUAGGGGCUUUUGUUGAUGGGCUUCCUUUUGCCUGCUAUGAUUUUCUAUGUUAGUGUCUUGGUUCUUUUAUUGUUAAGUUGUCAAAGGCUUUCUGUGAAGAGUCCAUGGCUGGUAUUUUGUUUCGGAUAAGAAGAUGCAAGAUGGAAAGAUUUUGUUUUACUUCUAAUCUGGAUAUCGGUAGAAGUCUGUUUGGCUUCUCUUCCUGGUAUGGCUCCAAAUCUGCAUCUUUUAGCUGCUUCUUUGAUUUCUUGGCUUCAAAUAUGUAUAUUGUAGCUGCAUUUUGUUCUUUUCGUUUCUUGGUAUGUUGUUCAUUUCAUUGCAUAGUUCUGUUUAGGUGUCCUGUAAACAGAAUCUCUAUAUUCCCAUCAUCUAUUGGCGUCUUCUAAUGCAAUAUUAUACUUCUCAAAAAAAAAAAAAACCAGCACAUUCCCUUGCAAUAUCUUUUGCAAUUCCUUCCACUUUUGAUGAAAGUGCUUUGUCACAUCCAAGAUUCUCCUUGAACAAAGUCCAAGCUUCUCCCUCAAAAAGUGGCUUUACUUUGAUUUUGUGAUCGCAAGCAAUUCCAUGACAAACCAUUUCUGAUCGAGUUGUCAAAAUCAGCUUGCAUCCUUCCAACUUCUCAGGAAUUCCCACUUUGUGUAGCUUAAAAUUGACGUUUGGCAAUAAUAUUUUGCAGUCUAUUAAUGCUGAAAUCUUGAGACACAGUCACCCACCAAACAUGAUAACAAAUAUCUGGUCUUUGUAGAAGCUCAUUAUGGAUAUGUUGCAGUAUUGUGGAUUUACCAACUCCCCCCAUCCCAUAAAUGCCAAUGGUUGAGACAUCCCCAUCCAUUAACAAAGACCAUAUCACCUUCGUAUUCUCUUCGAAUGCUUGACCCACUGGCUUUGUAGAGCUAAGAGGUAAUAGAAGUCCUCUAGUCUUGUUGUAUUUCAGACUUUCAGAAGAUCUAGCUACAACACCAACCUGCACUGAUCUUUGACUAUUCUCAACAUCCUCCUCCACUGGUUCUGUCCUCACUCUAACCCGAUUAAUUCUAUCUUCCCCGGCACCUUGUUCCAGCACCCCCUGAACUCCAACUUGUAUCCUUCCAGCACCCCCAGCCAAAUUGCCAAGUACUGCAUUGCUUUGUUCCAACGAUCGAUCCACUGGUUCUGUCCUCGGUCUGCUCUCGAGUGCCCCUUCGGAAACUCCAUCUUCUUGUGCUCUCAUUCCGGUCAUGCUCACUACGUCGUUUCCCGCUAUUGCAUGUGAAGUAAUCCUCUCUUCCCCUACUCCAGGUUCUACAACCUGAACUUCUCUUUGUACCCUUCCAAUUCCUCCUACCAUUCUUGAAAUUCCACAAUCAUUAACAUUGAUUGAACCUGCUGUGAUUUUAUGUUGACAGUUGCCUCAUUUGCUGCUGAAGAAGAGGUCUUCGAUGCUGUGAAGAUCCAGUCAAGAUUGACUCCAGAUUGUUAGGAUGUUAGUUGCAAAUAAAGCUGUCAUAGAUCAGCUCUUUCUCUGUUUUUAUCUUUUCAAUAUUUUUCGGAAUUCUGUUAUCAAACUCUUCUAUAAAAGAGUGUUUUAUCAAUAAAGAAAGUACACUUCAAUUCACAACAUUUAUAUCUUUAUCUUAUUGCUGAGUUCUUGCCUGUUCUUAUACAAUUUGUUACUGUCGUAAACAACAAAUUGGUAUCAGAGCACAUUGAUUUUAAAGGGACCAGCUUGUGAGAAAGAGAGAAACCUGUGAGAAACCCUUCUUCCACCAAAAAACCACAAAACACCAAAACCAAAACCUUUCAUCAUUCUUUCAAAUGGCAUCCAACACUUAUUCUCUUGCAACACCACCAGUAUUUACUGGUGUGAACUACCAAAUGUGGGCUGUGAGAAUGAAAACUUACUUACAAGCCUGCGAUUUAUGGGAUGCUGUUGAACAAGAACAUGAACCUCAGCCUCUUCCUGCAAAUCCAACCAUAGCCCAAAUCAGAAAUAAUCGUGAGGAGAGAUCAAGGAAGUUCAAAGCCAAAACUUGUCUCUAUGCUGCUGUUUCUGAAGCAAUAUUUCCAAGAAUAAUUGCUUUUGAUACAGGCAAACAAAUAUGGAAUUAUCUCAAGGAGGCGUUCCAUGGUAAUGAGAGGACAAUUCAAAUGCAGGUUUUGAAUUUGAGAAGGGAGUUCGAAAUGCAGAAGAUGAAGGACUCAGAAACUAUCAGAGAUUUUUCUGAUAGAUUACUCUCCAUAGUCAACAAAAUAAGACUAUUGGGAGAGGAGCUUUCUGAUCAAAGGGUUGUUAAAAAGAUCCUUGUGACUUUACCCGAGAGGUUUGAGUCAAAGAUAUCCUCAUUAGAAGAAGCCAAAGAUCUGUCAAAAAUAUCUUUGGGAGAAUUGUUAAAUGCCUUACAAGCUCAAGAACAAAGGAGAACUAUAAGGCAAGAAGAAUCCAUGGAAGGAGCUUUUCCAGCAAAGGUGCAAGUCCAAGAAGGUGACAAAGGGAAAAGGAAGAACAUCAAAUACAAGGGAGCAGGCAGUAACAAUCGAAGAAUUGGAACCUUUCCCCCUUGUCAACACUGUAAGAAAACAAAUCACUCACAAAACUACUGUUGGUGGAGACCUGAUGUUAAAUGCAGGAAAUGCAAUCAGCUGGGACACAUGGAAAAAAUCUGCAAGAACAGAACAAAUCAAUAGCAUGAAGAGGCUCAAGUUGCUGAUCAACAACAGGAGGAACAAUUGUUUGUGGCCACCUGUUUUGUAAGCAAGCAUGCAAGUGAUUGCUGGUUGAUAGACAGUGGUUGCACAAAUCACAUGACAAAUGAUGUGAAUUUGUUCAAACAUCUUGAUAAAUCAAGUGUCUCAAAAGUCAGAAUUGGUAAUGGCGAAUAUAUUCCUGUCAAAGGAAAAGGGACAGUGGCCAUCGAAGGGAAUUCAGGUAUUAAACUCGUUUCAGAUGUCCUUUUUGUACCUGAAAUCGAUCAAAACCUGUUGAGUGUUGGCCAACUUCUUGAAAAAGGAUACUCGGUUGUUUUCAAGAACAAACACUGUUUAAUUUCUGAUCCUACUGGAUUAGAGAUUUUCACCAUAAAAAUGCAAGGGAAAAGCUUUUCUCUAGAUUGGAUGGAAGAGGAGAUAGCAGCAGUAUCAAACACAACAAAUGAAGCUGAAUUAUGGCAUAAGAGGAUGGGCCACUUCAAUCAAGCAGCUUUGGUUCAUAUGCAGAGAAGGAAGAUGGUGAGAGGGGUGCCCAGCCUAGAAGAAAAAAUCACGGUUUGUGUUUCUUGUCAAUAUGGCAAGCAACACAGACUUGGAUUUCCUCAAAACAAAGCUUGGAGAGCAAGUGAAAAACUUCAGCUUAUUCACACUGAUGUUGCAGGCCCUCAGAUGACAGAUUCAUUAAAUGGCAGCAGGUAUUAUGUUGCUUUCAUUGACGAUUAUACAAGAAUGUGUUGGGUGUAUUUUUUAAAAUCCAAAGCUGAAGUAGCAGGUGUCUUUUUGAGGUUUAAAAACUGGGUUGAAAAUCAAAGUGGUCAUAAAAUUCAGAUUGUGAGGUCUGACAAUGGCACAGAAUAUACUUCAAACAAAUUUGCCCAGUUUUGUCAUGAUGCAGGGAUUGAACAUCAAUACACUACACCUUACACACCUCAGCAAAAUGGUGUGAGUGAGAGGAAGAACAGGACAAUCAUGGAGAUGGCAAGGUGCUUAUUAUUGAGAAAGAUUUGCCCAAGAAAUUCUGGGCAGAAGCUGUGAACACUGCUGUGUUCUUGUUAAACAGGCUGCCAACAAGAGCAUUACAACACAAAACACCUUAUGAAGCUUGGCAUGGUUAUAAACCCUCACUUCAAAACUUAAAAGUGUUUGGAUGCUUAUGUUUCACUCAUAUACCUCAGGUGAAAAGAGAUAAGCUUGACAGGAAGGCUGAAGCUGGAAUUUUCGUUGGCUAUAGCAAUGUCACAAAAGGCUAUAGAGUUUAUCAACCUGCAACUGAAAAGUCAUAAUCAGCAGAGACAUUAAAUUCGUUGAAGCUGAAAAAUGGAAUUUUGAAGAUACAACAAGCAAUGCAAGUAAGGAGAUCAUGCAAGAUUUUGAUAAAGAUGUUGAUGACACACCAGUCAGAGGAACCAGACUUCUUGCAGACAUUUAUCAAAGCUUCAAUGUGGCUGUGCUUGAACCUGCAGAAUAUGAGGAGGCCAAAAAUGAUCCAAGAUGGGUCACAACAAUGAAAGAAGAGCUAAGCAUGAUUGAGAAGAAUCAAACAUGGGAAUUAGUGGAUAUGCCGACACACAAAAAACCCAUUGGUGUGAAAUGGGUUUACAGAACAAAAUUGAAUGCAGAUGGCACUAUCAACAAACACAAAGCUAGGCUUGUGGUCAAAGGCUAUGCACAAGUCUUUGGUGUGGAUUUUUCAGAAACAUAUGCCCUAGUAGCUCGACUUGACACCAUCAGAAUGUUGCUAGCAAUUGCAGCUCACAAAGGUUGGAAAAUAUUUCAACUUGAUGUGAAGUCUGCAUUUUUGAAUGGUUACCUGCAGGAGGAGAUUUACGUGGAACAACCUAAAGGUUUCAUGGUAGAAGGAGAAGAAGACAAGGUUUACUUAUUGAAGAAAGCUUUAUAUGGACUGAAACAGGCUCCAAGAGCCUGGUAUAGCAGGAUUGAUGAGCAUUUACUCAAACAUGGCUUCAACAAAAGUUUAAGUGAAUCGACCUUAUAUAUCAAGAGUUCAAACACUGGUUUUAUGGCUGUUUCACUUUAUGUGGAUGAUUUAUUUGUUACAGGUAACAAUUCAACCAUGAUGGACAUCUUCAAAGCUGAAAUGAUGGAAGUUUUUGAGAUGACAGACCUUGGUGAAAUGUCCUAUUUUCUUGGCAUGGAAGUGCAGCAAAAUCAGCUUGGGAUCUUUGUUUGCCAACAAAAGUAUGCCAAAGAGAUUCUGAAGAAAUUCAAAAUGGAAGACUGCAAAUCAAUGACCACGCCCAUGAAUUUGAAAGAGAAGUUCAGUAAAGAAGAUGGGGCAGACAAGGUGGAUGAAGCAAUUUACAGGAGCUUAAUUGGGUGUCUAAUGUACCUUGCGGCAACAAGGCCAGACAUCAUGCAUGCAGUGAGCUUAUUAUCUAGGUUCAUGCAUUGUGCUAGUGAAAUACACUUCAAGGCUGCAAAAAGAGUGGUGAGAUACAUAAAAGGUACACUAAACUAUGGCAUUCAGUUUAGUUGUGCUGAAAAUUUCGAGCUACAAGGAUAUGCAGAUAGUGAUUGGGCUGGCAGCUGUGAUGAUAUGAAGAGCACGUCUGGAUAUUGUUUUAGUUUUGGAUCAGGAAUUUUCUCCUGGUGUUCCAAAAAACAAGAAGUUAUUGCUCAAUCAACGGCAGGAGCAGAGUAUGUUGCAGCUACUGCAGCUGCAAAUCAAGUCUUAUGGCUUAGAAAAAUCCUAGCAGAUCUGGACAUGGAGCAAAGGGAAGCUACUAAAGUUAAUGUUGACAAUCAAGCUGCAAUUGCAAUAUCUAACAAUCCAAUUUUCCAUGGGAAAACAAAGCAUUUCAAGCUCAAGUAUUAUUUUCUAAGAGAAGUUCAGAAAAAUAAAGAACUGCAACUGAUUUAUUGCAAGACAGAAGACCAGCUUGCUGAUAUAUUAACCAAGCCAUUGCCAAAAGCAAGGUUUGAAACUUUGAGGAACAAGAUAGGAGUCUGCAGCAAAAGAUGCAAGGAGGAGUGUUGACAGUUGCCUCAUUUGUUGCUGAAGAAGAGGUCUUCGAUGCUGUGAAGAUCCAGUCAAGAUUGACUCCAGAUUGUUAGGAUGUUAGUUGCAAAUAAAGCUGUCAUAGAUCAACUCUUUCUCUGUUUUUAUCUUUUCAAUAUUUUUCGGAAUUCUGUUAUCAAACUCUUCUAUAAAAGAGUGUUUUAUCAAUAAAGAAAGUACACUUCAAUUCACAACAUUUAUAUCUUUAUCUUAUUGCUGAGUUCUUGCCUGUUCUUAUACAAUUUGUUACUGUCGUGAACAACAUUUUAUGUCUUUUGUUGCCACCACACAUAGCUUUCCAAGCUGCUUCUUGUUCUUUAGGCACCCCAUGAAAAAUGAUGGUCUCAUUGUAUGGGUGACGAACCCCAGAAAAAUGAUGGUCUCAUUGUAUGGGUGACAAACCCCAGAAAUAUGAUGGUCUCAUUGUAUGGGUGACGAACCCCAGAAAAAUGAUGGUCUCAUUGUAUGGGUGACGAACCCAAGAAAAAUGAUGGUCUCAUUGUAUGGGUGACGAACCCCAGAAAUAUGAUGGUCUCAUUGUAUGGGUGACGAACCCCAGAAAUAUGAUGGUCUCAUUGUAUGGGUGACGAACCCAAGAAAAAAUGAUGGUCUCAUUGUAUGGGUGACGAACCCCACGUGGAAAAAAUGUGAAGUGCGGUCUCAUUGUAAUGGGUGACCUACCCACGUGGAAAGAAUAUGAAAAAGUGGUCUCGUUGUGAUGGGCGACCUACCCAAAUAGAAAGAAUGUGAAGUGCGGUCUCAUUGUAAUGGGUGACCUACCCAGAUGGAAAAAAUGUGAUAUGACAAGUGUGAAAAAUAGGACUUACCUGGCGAAGUUCUGAAGGGAUGAUAGAAGAAAGGGCUGGAAAACUUGGUGCUUCCUGAUAAUUCUUGAUCAUAGGGUUUGAAAACUCGGUGUUUCCUGACUGCAAGGGUUGAAAACUCGAGGCUUCCCGAUUGCAAGGUUGAUCUUUUCAUUUCUUUGGGAUUUUCCUAAUGGUAGGGUUCAUCCCAUCGUCCUUUUAUUCCAUGAUCAAAACCGAUUCUUUAUUUAUCAUCACCACAAUGCUUCUUUCUCUUUCCACCAUCUUGCUGGACCCCAUUAGGGAUUUUCCUGUAACAAUUCAAAAAUACGUGCAAAUGUUUUUUUUUUUUUUUAGGUUAGAUGAUAUACAUGCAUCCUUACCUGAUUUGAAAUAUAGGUCCCCCCCUCUUUGAUGCUCCAUCGCCAUAGGGUGCCUUUGUUUGCAUUCCACAGCAUUCCUUGUUCUUUCGAUGUAUUGGCUCAUUCAUGUGCUAGCCAUCCACUCAACUGUAAAUGCAGUGCCCAUCCCGGGUUGUCUUUGACAAUUACUGCUCGCAUCGUUCAUCAAGCUUGACCCUGCCCCCAAGUGUGGUGCUGCUUGAUUCAUUAUGAAGGAUUUUCUCUCUUGGAUUCUUCUGAGAGUUAUCCUUUGAUUGAUUGUGUGCAUCAUGUCCAUACCCCAUCAAGAUUGUUAAUCAGUCAUUGUAAGCGCGAUGUAUUUCUCUAUGGAUUCCUUUUAGCUUGUCAAAUCAGAUCGUGAAAGCAACUGCUUUGGCAUCAUCAAUGAUGUUCAUGUUAUCACCCAUAUUCAUGCGGUGAAGUGCGCAUUUGAGCUUCAGAAUAGAUGGUCCCAUAGUCAAUCUUGGUGGUAUGCAUAUGUUCGAUGUUCAUUCAAAUGCACUCACCCGAUAACAUCUGUCAGGAGUCAUAGCCAUGUUUUACAGGGUAACCCAAGAUGAAGAUAUGAAGAUAUCCUUCAAGUGCAGCGUUGCUCAUCAAUUGCUGCUGAAGUGCACUAGAUCAUGGAUUGUGUUUGAACAACAUUGCCCCCAAUAUGAUCUGAAGGUUCGCUCAUCGGUUUAUACUCAAGAAGGUUUUUCUUUAUCAUUGUCAGAUGUUAAAACUUUCCGGGACUUUGAUGACUCAUCAUCUGAUUCUUUCUUUGCCCCUAGCUGAUCAGGAUAUUGUUUGUUUUCCUUCUUCGGGUCCACUGUAUUGCCCCCAAGUGGUCAACCUUUCAAGGAGUUUUGAGAAGAGUUGAUGUCAUUUUUGUCAAGGACUUUGCAAACUCAAUUGAUGUUCUUGUUUGAAAAUCUUUCUUGUUCUGGAAUCAAAUCUCACAUUUCAACGAUCAUGUCUAUUCAAGUCUAAUUGUUGAAAUGAAAUCAGAGAGAUGUCUGUUUUUGAAAUUUUUUUUUUUUUUUUUUGAAAUUCAAACUUCUUUGGUCAAAGACCCAACACACUAUUCAAUGCAGUCCUUUGAUUGUCUUGUAUCUUGAAAACAGAAAUGAACCGUUGUAAGAUUUAAAAUGACUUUUUCAUGGUUCUUUGUGUCCACUUUAAACUCUGAUUUUGGGUAUAUCUUUUGAUGGUCUGUGCUGAGGUGACAUUUUUAUGAAUUUCAAAUGACUAGAUGCUCAGGCUUUAUCAAGAAAGGUUGUUUCUUUUCUUAGCAUUUAUUUUAUCAGCAUGCAUAAUAACCAGUAGCUUAAUUCAUGAAGUCACGACCCUUAUGGAAAAGCUCUUCAAGUUUUGAGAGCGCCAUUUUUCGAUUCAAAUUGCUUGCUUGAUUAAAAAGGGCUUUUAAAAGCACGUAAUGCAGGCUAUGGUUCAUGGCUAUGAAAGAAAAGAAUUGCAAAGGCUCAAAAGGUGUUUGAGGGUUUCAAACUUAGGAUCAACAUUAACUAUUCAUCGAUUCUCUUUCUCUUGUCGUCAUUGUAGAGAAAGUGACAUAUAACCUUGUUAAUCUUAAAUAUCAGACUUCUCUUAACAUAAGUCAUAAUGCAAAUCCACUUUUCCUUGAUGAAUAACCAACCUUAAUCAUCUGAUAACAUCGUAGGCUUUAUAAUGGAUCCCAAAAGUCAACGUUUAUAGCUUAGUCUUUUUUCUAGUAUUGACUUUUGUUGUGCCUCUCUUUGAUUGAAAUUUCUUUUGCUCUUCCUAGACUUGAUAGACGUUUUCCUUCCUUUACCUUUGACUUGUAUUUAAGUGAAGGCAAUUUCAACUUCUUCUUUUUUUCGUUUUUUUUUUUCAUUCUCUUUUUUCAUAGCCUUCCUCAAAAUUUUCUGAUAUGCCCCCAUGUCUAUGUGUUUUCUUUUACCUCUCUCUCAAUCAUUGGACCUUUGUUCUAAGCCUUCCCCUUUAUCCAUUAAUUAUAUCAAUGUCUCCAAAAUAUCUCUCAUUUGCCCCCAAUGUGGGGUGUGAUCCUAGUCAGGGUUUCUUUUUUUAAAAGAAAAUAUUUUACCAGGCUCAAAAUGGGACUGCAAGGGAUAUAAUCUUUAGAAAGUGAAGGGAUAUCAAAGAUGGCCUUUUCUCAUUUCAAACAAGGUCGGUUAGAACCGAUAAAUUUUGACCUCAACCAGUGUAAUGAUUGGGACUUGUAAGAAUCAUGAUUCACGAGUCCAUAACUACCGAAUCCACUACAUGUCAUUAUGCAUAUUGUUAAAACUUAGCUAUAUGAUGUGUGGUUCAGUUUCAGGAGGUAUGAGUUUAAAAUUGUUUAGUCACCUCAUGUCGUUUUCAAGCAUCGAGUCAUUUCUGUAAUCGAAACACUUUUAAUCUUCCGCAAUGAUUAACUUUUAUCGCAUGUUGGAGUUUGAUCAAAAUAUUUUGUCAGAAUAAAAUGUUGAACAUCUGUUGAUUUCAAAACAACAAAGAGACAAAAGCAAGGCAUGUUUCGUUGAAGGAUGAGAUGUGAUCCCAAAACAAAAUGCAGAAUUCCAUAACAAUAUGAUUGACUGUUCAUCACCAUUCUCGAAUCAGCUUUUCUGGCAAUAUCUGUGUUUAGCAAAGCAUUUUCGAUCACAUGUGAUUCUGAAGUUGUUCGGGGAACAAUAUAGCCAGUGACACCCUUCUUCAACGACUCCACCUGUCUCUUGCUCACCAACUUUCAGACUCCAUUCUUGCAAUUCUUGAAACUAUUCACUUGAAAUGGUUGAGGACCCCACCAUGACAUCACAUCUCUUAUCUGGAUUAUACCACUGAGAAAUUGGUGGUUGCAUGGGAAUUUGUCGGAGUCAAGCAAAAUUCUGGAAUCAUGCGGAUGCUGGUUGACAACUUAAACGGCAGAGGAAUGUCCCAUCUUGGCAAAGAUAUUUGGGCAAUUGAUGCUGUCGUGAGACCUGGCUAUACCACAUAAUUAAGGGUUCACAACGUCAAAGUCAUCUCCUGAUUCACCUCUCAUCAUUGUUCUAAGAAUUCAUGGCAGAUCCUUCAAUCUUUCCUCUCUUCAUAACUUGUUCAAUUUCGUCAGCAAUCCUCACAACAUCAUGUCAAUCUUCCAAUGUUGUUGUGGUUUGAGGAUUGUUGGAACCCUCUUAAACCCUCUUAAUUCUGGCAGCGCCCAAAAACAAAAGCGUGUGGAAUCACACAUUGUCAAAAUUGGAAGAGAACCCGAUGAAUCUACAACAUCUUCUAUUUCCUCUUUGAUUCUUCACUGAUGGUGCAGCAAACAACCACUUUUGUGUUUUAAUGCCGAUACUGGAAAAAGAAAAUUAUGGACAAUCUGAAACCAAUGCAUCCCUUCUUGGAUUUCCCAUUUGCAUAUCCCCAAACGGAUUCAUGUCGAGAGAUCUCUGCUACGUUGAAUUUGGAUGUCUGCUCAUGUUUUUUCAAACCAAGUCUGGCUCUUCAACCUGCUACAGUUUCUUCACGUUGAAAUCGAUGAGAGAAAUAUUUGUAGCAUAUGCAAUUAGUAAAUCCCCUCUUGCACUCUCACCUUGCAGCAUCAUCAACAGAUUUUUGUAGAGAGAGCUCUGCCACGUUGAAGUUUGACGACUACUCAUAUUUUCAGACCAGGCUUGACUCCUCUGUCUACUACAAAGUUUUGCUCGUGCCACAUGUAGAAAUUCAGUGUCUAAUCAUGGUUUUUCAGACCAACAUCUUGUGCUGCUGAAAUGGAAUUAAGCUCAUAAUAAGGGCAGCUUCCAAGAAGACUAAUGCAUCAUGUACAGGAGACCGGUUGUUUUUUGGUUCCAUUAGAUGAUGUGGAGGCGAUGAACAUUUAACAAUGCAACUGGAUAAGAACCAGAGUUGUCAUUAGUUGAUGACUGAAGGCGUUGUUGCUUUUGUUCAUGACGAAAAAGGAGAGAUACAGCUUCAAUUAGAUGUGAAGCAGUGUUCCCACAGAAGACUGUGCAGAUAUUCUCUUUCCAUUUGAUGCUCAACACUUGUUCGAGCAGAUCUGAGUCUAACUACUUCACAUUUAAUGCUCUCAACCUUAAUCUGAUAAUGAGCCUCUAUCUGACAUCUUUCUUCACCUCCAUCAUUUUUUCUCCAAUCACGUGCAGCACAACUUGUGUGGGGGACCUACCUUUCAACCCGGUACAUGCAUGAUAAAUGUAUGAACAUGUAAUCUAUAUGAUAAACUCACCCUUCGAGGGGUGACAAUAUGGUCGUAACUCUUGUAUGAUGGACAAGAAUCGUGAUUUUUGCCCAAACUCUACAAUGAAAAUUUUCGGAGCAACGGCCAAUGUGUCACCCACAAGUCUUGAGUUCAAGAUGCUUCAAGAAGGGUUUGCCCUUAAAAAACGAUAGCACAUACAACCUAAGGACAAGUUCUAUUCAUUAUGUGAACAUGGGUAGGUUUUCUAUCUGGUCUCAAAAGGGUCUCAUAUCUGCCCAGUGACAUUCUUCGUAAAGACAGUAUGGGGGCGUUGCAAAGAAUGGUUAAGGCACGUAUACCCCCCAUUACCAAGCAGGCACUCAGAUAUAAGUUGGGUGUUUCACGCAUCUGAACCCUGACCAAUAGUCUUAGGGCAGAUCGCUAGUUCCCCACCUAACCUAGAAACUUGUGUGUGCUUUUAAAAAUAAAUACAGGUGAUGCAUGAGACAAUUCUAUAAAAUGCAUGGAAAUAAAUAUUAACAAAAAGAUAAAAAUGCAAAAACUUAAACACAUCAAAUACACAAAGCUUAGUCCAAUAAUCGAAAAAAUACCUUCCGCAGUGGAGUCGCCAUUCUGUCGCACCCCAAAAAAAUCAGCGCGCGACAUCUGCUGGCGAUUUUUAUCGUUGUCGUGUUGUGUUUGAAUUUGGUUCGUUGGAGUCGCCACCUAGUAAUUGAUUUCGGGUUACUAGGAAACCGGAUGUACUGGUCUUGUCAGAGAUUCGCGGGUAAGGGACUGGUUGUGGUUAGGGAAGGUAUUAGCACCCCUAACGCACCCUACCUGAGGUAAGCUGCUUCGUGGCUUUGACGUGUUAAAGAAGUUUUAAUAAUUGUCUUUUCAUCAGAAAUUAGAAAUAUCACUUACGUAUAAGUUAAUAAUUCUUAACCGUGAUCCGAUCAAAAUAUUAAAUUCUUCUUUAAUAUAUUUGCAAUUUUAUCCUAAAAUAUAUAUAUAUAUAUAUAUAUAUAUACAAAUAAAUAAAACAAAAUACAAACACACCCAUUCACUAUUUUCAUUUCUUUUAUUUUUCUUUUCUUUUUUCUUUUCUUUUACAUCCACAAUACAAAUACAAAUACAAAUACAAAUUCAAAUUCAAAUUCAAAAUAAAUAAAUAAAAAUACACCAACACACACAUCCCCUUUUUUAUUAUUAUUUUUUUUUCUUUUCUUCUUUUUUUUUUCUUUUACAUUCACAUAUUACAAAUUUAAAAUAAAUAAACAAAAAUUACAUUAAAACUUUAAAAUUUACAAAAUGGUCCCUCAAAACUCCCGAAAUUGCAGGGAAGGACUUCUGCACCCGAAUGAACAGUUCUGGCGCGUCUUCCCACGUGCCACCGCCACUGGGAAGGACUUUGUGGGUUCACGCGCCGCCCAGAAAUUCAGGCGGCGUGAGGGGGCUGCAAUGGCUUCCUCCCCUCUUCAAUCUCUUGUUGUCUGUCACCUGCAAAUCCAAAAAAAAAAAAAAAACACAGCAAGGGCAGUCGAUUUUAAGUUUUUUUCUUAGUUUUUCAAAUCUGUUUUUUUUGUUCUUUCUUUUCAGAUCUGCAGUUCAUCCCUUCUCCUUCUUCGGAUCUGCUUCUCCUUCUCUUCGUCUCGGUUUCGGAUGGCCGGAGGUUGUAGGGGGAGCUGUGAGCGGUCAGUUGAAGAAGGAGCCCGGUGGCGGUCUGUGGAGAUAUGGUCGUGGCUGAGGAGAGACGGCCUGGUGCGCGGCUGUCCGAGUGAGAGAGAUUCUGGUGAGGGGCUGUAGGUGCUGUGUGGAGAAUGGCCGACCGAUCUACGACUGAUGGCGCCGUUGUGGUGGGCGGAGCUGCUGUGGUGGACGGCGCUGCUGGCUCCUACGGAUGAAGAAGAAAGGCAAGCCGGCUUGGAGAAGGAGUGGCCAAGAGUGGGGAGGGGAUGAUGGCUUUGAAAUGGCCGAGAAGAAGGGAAAAUCUGGUGAUGGGGGUGGCGGCCGGUUCUGGUUAGAGAGGGCAGAUUUGUGGCUGUUCGUUGGGGAGAAGAGAAACAAAAAAUGGCCUGGGGUGAGGCUUGUCCGGCGGCUGAGGGGAAGAAGAAAUUCAAACCGGCUGGGGGCUGCUGUUUAGCCGGUUCUGGGAGAAGAAAAAUUCAAAAAAAAAAAAAGGUGAGGGGCUGGCUUUUUGGUUGAGCGGCUGCAGGGAGAAGAGAAAAAAUCAAAAGGUGGGGGGGCGGCGGCUGCCUUCAUAAGGGGAGAAAAAAUUAGGCUCCUAGGGUUUUCUUUUUUUUGUAUCUUUUUUUGAUAUUUCAAAAUUGCCCCCCCCCCUUUAAAAAUCAGUUUAGCAUGGUAUUUAUAGGCAAAAAUAUUGCUAGGUUUUUCGACUUGGUCCCUCAACUUCUUUCUUUUUGUAAAUUUUGAUUUUUCUUAUUUUUUUGUAUUUUUUUGAAAACGAGCAAUAUCAACGUCGACUCAAAUGCGGAAAAUCAAUGAUUUUUAAAAAUGACGCGUGAAAAGUCGAAUGCGUUUGAAAAUAUUUUAACAAUUUAAAUUCUUUUUUAGACGACGUUGAAAAUGCUAAAAUGACGAAAAUAUAUUCAAAACACAUUUUUUGGAUUUUCUUUGUUUUUCUCAAUUUUUUGGAUUUUUAAAAAUAUAUCAAAACAUGGGUCAAAAAUUGGGUAGCAACAAUUUUAACAAACUUGUAAAUUAAGUUAAUUUUAUAUAAAAAAAAAAGAAUAAAAAUUAAUAAAUUAAAGCUGAAUUAUAACCAGCCUAUAAUAAAAUAAACAAAAACAAAAUUUUAAAAACAAAACAAAAAAGGCAAAACACCUUGAAUUACAUACUAUUGUAAUUUACAAUGAAAUAGGUGUGGAUAUAUAGUGAUUCUCCCAAGUCUCUUAGCUUUUCUUUUAAUGAAAAUUAAUAACUGUAUAAUAUACUUGUUGCAACUAAGUCAUUUAAUAAAUGUCCUAGUCUUUAGGAUUAAGAGAUAAGAUUUGAUUUAUUCCUUGUUUACUAAACCACGUUUGUAGGAGUGCUAAACGUGGGUUGCAUAUUUUUCUAUUUUCUGUUGUAAUAGUUGAUAUAUAUAUCAGCUCUAUUUCAUUGAAUAAACGUACUUUCCAUUCUCUCCAUAGUGGUAUCAGAGCACGUUACCAUCAGGGCCUGAUUGAGAAAUAUAAGAACCUGCAGUGUUCUUGUGAAGAGAGAGUGCAGAGAAGGAACAAAGUGAGAGUAGGAUGGCAUCCGAAGGAAAUUUUGUUCAACCAGCUAUUCCCAGGUUUGAUGGUCACUAUGAUCAUUGGGCCAUGCUGAUGGAAAAUUUCCUACGAUCCAAAGAGUAUUGGAGUUUGAUUGAGGCAGGAAUUCCAACAGUUGGAACUGGAACAGAACAGACGGAGGCACAACAAAAGACUGUUGAAGACAUGAGGCUGAAAGAUUUGAAGGUAAAAAAAUAUCUCUUUCAAGCCAUUAUGGAGACAAUCUUGAAUAGAGAUUCAGCAAAAGGAAUAUGGGAUUCCAUGCAUCAAAAGUAUCAAGGAUCUACUAAGGUGAAACGGGCUCAACUACAAGCAUUACAGAGAGAAUUUGAGCUUCUUGGAAUGAAAGCAGGAGAGAGUGUUGAUGACUAUUUCUGUAGAACUCUUACCAUUGCCAACAAGAUGAAAUCUCAAGGUGAAUGCAUGGAACAAACUGUUAUCAUUGAGAAGGUUCUACGAUCCAUGACAACAAAGUUUGAUUAUGUCGUGUGCUCCAUCGAAGAAUCAAAUAAUCUUGUUAUCAUGACCAUUGAUGAACUUCAAAGCAGUUUGCUUGUGCACGAGCAAAGAAUGAAGGGCCACAAAGAGGAAAAGCAAGCUCUAAAAGUUACUGGUGGGGAGAGGUUUGAAGCAAGGGAGGAUGAUAGAAUUGGGAGCAGAAACAAAAGUCGUGGAGGAUUCAGAAGCAGAGGCAGAGGUCGAGGAAGGCAAUCUUUCAACAAAGCUCUCAUUGAGUGCUAUCGUUGUCAUAAACUACGACAUUUUUCUUAUGAAUUUCCUAGUUGGGAAAAGGCAGCAAAUUAUGUGGAACUAGAAGAAGAAGAUGAUAUGUUGCUCAUGUCAUACGUGGAACCUAACAAUUCCACCAAAGAAGAGGUAUGGUUUUUAGACUCCGGUUGUAGCAGUCAUAUGAGUGGGAACAAACUGUGGUUUACACAGUUAGAUGAAGGGUUCAGACACUCAGUUAAGCUAGGCAACAAUUCUAAAAUGGCAGUGAUGGGAAAGGGAUGUGUGAAGCUUAACAUAGCUGGAGUGAUGCAAAAGAUUGAUGGGGUUUACUAUAUCCCUGAAUUAAAAAACAAUUUGUUAAGUAUGGGUCAACUACAGGAGAAAGGCUUAUCUAUACUUAUUCAAAACAAUACGUGCAAAUUGUUCCAUCCAACUAAAGGUCUCAUCAUGGAUACAACCAUGACUUCUAACAGAAUGUUUGUCAUAGGUGCAGUAAUGCCUUCAAAGGAACCUGUGGCUUUCUUUCAAGCUACUGAGACAGAAAAAACACAACUAUGGCACAACAGGUUUGCUCAUCUUAAUUUCAAAGGUUUAAGAACAUUGCAUUCCAAGAAGAUGGUUGAAGGGUUGCCAUUACUUUCAGCUCCAAUGAAAGUGUGUAUUGAUUGUUUAGCGGGAAAACAACACAGGAACAACAUUCUACAGAAAAGCUACUGGAGAGCAACAUGCAAACUGCAACUUGUGCAUUCUGAUAUUUAUGGACCUGUAACUCUAGAAUCCAACAGUGGAAAAAGGUACCUUAUCACUUUCAUCGAUGAUUUUAGUAGAAAGUGUUGGGUUUAUUUCAUUUCAGCAAAGUCAAAAGCUUUUACUAUGUUCAAAAAAUUCAAAAGCUUAGCAGAAAAGGAGGCUGGUUCAUUAAUGGGGUGCUUAAGAACCGACAGAGGUAGGGAAUUUACGUCUAAAGAAUUCAAUGAGUAUUGUCUUUUCAAUGGGAUCAAAAGACAACUAACUGCAGCAUACACGCCUCAGCAAAAUGGUGUUGCUGAGAGGAAGAACCGGGCAAUCAUGAAUCUAGUUAGAAGCAUGGUGUUAGAAAAACAUAUUCCUGGAGAGUUUUGGCCAGAGGCAGUGAACUGGUGUGUACAUGUACUAAACAAGAGCCCUACUUUGGCAGUCAAAGAUCUCACACCUGAAGAAGCAUGGAGUUGUGUUAAACCUUAAGUGGCAUACUUUCGUGUAUUCGGUUGUAUUGGUCACAUUCAUAUUCCAAAUGUGAAAAGAACAAAGCAAGAUUCAAGGAGUUCAAAGUGUGUAUUACUGGGAGUAAGUGAAGAAACAAAAGGCUACAGAAUGUAUAAUCCAAUCACAAAGAAAAUUGUGAUUAGCCGUGAUGUGAUCUUUGAAGAAAACGAAGUUUGGGACUGGACAGAAGGUGAUAUCAAUGUAUUGCUGAAAUGGGGAGAUGCUGAGAUCGAUGUAGCUGAAGAAUUUGAUGCUGAAAUUGAAGAGCAGGAUCAAGAGUAGUUUGGAGAGCAAGAACAAGAGCAGCAUGAAGUAAAUAAUUCUUCAGUUGGAGUAAUUAGUUCUUCUUCAUCAAAUUCAUCUUCAAUAAACUCAACUAAAGAAAAUGAGCCUAAUCAACCUGCUGCUGCUGAACACAAUCCUCUUGCUGAUGCUAAUCAACCUGCUGCCAGAAUUCGAAGACCACCAUACUGGAUGUAGGAUUAUGUCACAGGUACCACUGCUGCUCAUCAACCUGCUGAACACAAUCAACCUGCUGCUAAUGUCAUAGGUACCACUACUACUAAUCAACCUGCCAAACCCAAUCAACCUGCUGCUGCUGAUCAACCUGCUGCUGAUCAACCUGCUGCAAGAAUUCGAAGAACACCAUACUGGAUGCAGGAUUAUGACACAGGUGUAAAUUUUUCUGAAGAAGAAGAAACUCAAAACAUGGUAUUUUAUACCACUGCUGGAGAUCCAUACACCUAUGAAGAAGCCUCAAAAAGUCAUAAAUGGAGGAGCCAUGGAUACUGAAAUUUCAGCAAUAAAGAGGAAUGGUACAUGGGACUUAACUGUGCUUCCGAAGCAUGCAAGGAAGAUUGGUGUAAAAUGGAUUUACAAGACAAAGCUCAAUGAAAAGGGGGAAGUGGACAAAUACAAAGCAAGACUUGUAGCAAAGGGGUAUGCACAACAACAUGGAAUUGACUACACUGAAGUGUUUGCACCAGUAGCACUAUGGGAUACAAUCCGAAUGGUUCUCGCCAUAGCAGCACAGAGAGAUUGGACAGUGUAUCAGCUGGAUGUAAAGAGUGCAUUCCUCUAUGGAGAAUUAGAUGAAGAUGUGUAUGUAGAGCAACCCCUAGGCUAUGAGAAGAAGGGAGAGGAAUUCAAAGUUUACAAAUUAAAGAAAGCAUUAUACGGAUUGAAGCAGGCACCGAGAGCCUGGUUUAGUAGAAUUGAAUCAUAUUUUCUGAAGGAAGGGUUUGUUCGAUGUCCAAGUGAGCAUACUCUAUUUGUAAAAACUCAUCAAGAAUGUCAAGGAGAAGGAAAGAUUCUGGUGGUAAGCUUGUAUGUGGAUGAUCUGGUAUUCACUGGAAAUGACGAGGAAAUGUUUGCAGAUUUUAAAGCUUCAAUGCAACGGGAAUUUGCUAUGACAGAUUUAGGUAAAAUGAAGUUCUUUCUUGGAGUAGAAGUUGUGCAAAACGAUGAAGGAAUUUUCUUGAGUCAAAAGAAAUAUGCAUUGGAGAUCUUGGAGAGGUUUGGCUUGGAGAAUGCAAAUUCUGUUCGUAAUCCAAUAGUACCAGGUGUUAAACUGAUGAAGAAUGAAGAUGAACAACAGGUGCAUAUGAUUCAAUAUAAAUAGAUGGUCAAUAGCCUUAUGUAUCUAUCAGUCACAAGGCCAGACCUUAUGUUUGUAGUGAGUUUAGUGAGUAGAUAUAUGGAGCGACCAACAAAUAUACACAUGCAGGCUAUCAAAAGAAUUUUGAGGUAUGUAAAGGGCACAGUGGACUUGGGAAUUUGCUACAAACGGGGAGCUGCAACUAAUGAAAUGUUGGUGGCCUUUUCUGAUAGUGACUAUGCCGGCGAUCAAGAUGAUCGAAGGAGCACUUCUGGAUAUGUGUUUAUAUUCAGUGGGGGAGCAGUUGCAUGGAGUUCUAAGAAACAGCCAGUGGUUUCUCUUUCAACAACUGAGACAUAAUUCAUAUCUGCAGCUCAUUGUGCUUGCCAGGUAGUGUGGAUGAGAAGAGUGCUUGAAAGAUUGAAUUGCAAACAAGUUACACCUACUGUCAUUUACUGUGAUAACAUGUCUAUAAUUAAACUAGCAAAAAAUCCAGUUAUGCAUGACAGAAGUAAGCAUAUAGAUGUCAGGUUUCACUUUCUGCGUGAGCUGUGCAAAGAAGGUGUUAUUGAGUUGAAGCACUGCAAUACAAGAGAUCAAGUUGCUGACAUCAUGACAAAAGCAUUGAAGAUGGAUACAUUUGAGAAGCUGAGAAAUUUGAUGGGCAUAUGUGUGGUCUGAAAUGAAUAAACCGUUACUUUUAUUACUGCUGCUAAACUGCUUGCUGGAAAACAAUGCAGUUUAAGGGAGGAUUUGUUGCAACUAAGUCAGUUAAUAAAUGUCCUAGUCUUUAGGAUUAAGAGAUAAGAUUUGAUUUAUUCCUUGUUUACUAAACCAUGUUUGUAGGAGUGCUAAACGUGGGUUGCAUAUUUUUCUAUUUUCUGUUGUAAUAGCUGAUAUAUAUAUAUCAGCUUUGUUUCAUUGAAUAAACGUACUUUCCAUUCUCUUCAUUUGUGUGUUUAAAGGAUUCUGACUUCAACAAUACUUUCUUGUGGAUGCUCUAUCGUUGCUAAAUUAAAACAUCUUUUUUUUUUUAUCUACAUCUAUGUGAAACUUUUUUAAAAUAAAAAUAUUUAAAAAGAUAAUGUUAAUAAAAAACAUUGUUAUUUUAGUUUUUUUUCUUUUAAUAAAUACCAUCAUAAUAUGAUGUGGUUUUGUUUUUUACUCAGGUUAUUCAGUUAAUAUGUGAGUCAACUAGUAAACUAAACUUUGGAAUACUUUUCGUAAGCUUCCUAUUUAUUCUUAGUAAUCGAAAUAUUUUUGUAUUUUUAAUAUUAAUAUAUUAAAAAAUAUUUAUUUAAUAUUUAUUUUAAAAUAACCAGAUUUUUUAAUAAACAUAAUUCUGAUUACAAAAACAAAUCAUGUUUAGAUUGCGGGCAUAAGCAUAACAAUCUUGACAGUACCGUUGUUGUUUGGACUUUGAGAAUGAUAAAACAAAAGAGUUAGAAUAAAUUUAAAAUAAAAAAAUUAAUUUUUAAAAAAUAUUUUUAAAAUACAAAAACAAACUAAUAAUAAAAUAGAUUUUUAUACACUUGUAAAAAUCCCAGGAACGCAACAAUCAGGCAUUAGCUUCAAGCAACCAGAGGGAGCUUCACUGCAGUAGAAAACUUCAACAUAGCUUGAUUUGCUAUCCAAUCUGCACACCAGUUGGAUAGCAAUUUCUUUUCAUAACAUUUACCUUUGUAAAAACUUUCUACUUAUUUUUAGUUUUAAUAUCAAAUUCAGUCUUGAAUAUUGAACAUUCAAAAAUUCACUUAUUUUUAAUCAAUUAAAUUGAACAAAAUCUUGUUAAGUCAAACAUCAACUCUACAUUGAAUUGUUUUUUCUUCUUAGACCACAAGAGCUCCAUAACAAGUUUAUUGAAAUAAAUUAUCAAAUGAAAUUUUAAAAAAAUGCUUUAUAAAAAAAAAAAAACAGAGAGACAUCUACCUUGUUUUCUCUAUUGGUACAUGGUAAGAGUCUGAGCAUAUUUAUUUAUUUUUAUUUUUAUUUUUAUUUUAAUAAUAGUCCUGUUUUUUCUACCGUCAAGAAAUCAAGAACGAUUCUAAAGUCUAUAUUUAGAUAAUUUCGGUUGAUUGAAGCCACCAGGUUGAUUGAAGCCACCAGGUUGAUUGAAGCCACCAUGUUGUGAAGUGGUUGUGUUCGGUGUCAUAUAGCCAUGUCCCGGCUGAGGUUGAUGAAUAAAGGAAUUAUGAUGCCUUGAUGGAGUUUGAGGCCAAUUUUAUAUAAAACUUAAUGAUAAAAAAAUAUCAUAAAAAAUGUCUAAAUCUCCCAAUUGUUGUCUGUUUGUUUAACAGUAAACAAUUUGAAGAUGCUCGAGAUCGAUACACUAAACAUAAAACUUUUUGUAUAAUACAAACACUUGCUAAUUCAUUGGACAUUGUAGCGAAUUGGAGCACUCACCAUUGUUUCAGGAAAGGACGUUGGAAACGGAGUUGUUUGUUGAAUACUAUUGUUGAUCACAUUGUUCUGUCCACCUUGAUCAUUGCAUGAUAUGGAGCUUUGGUUGACUGGAACCUCCGGUGGCGGCCAGCUUCCAUGGACAGUGACGACAUUAUAUUGUUUUUUGCGAGUAAUAGGAUAAACUGAAGAAUAACUAAACUGCAAGCAAUCGUCUUCUGAUAAAAUAUGCUUAAGAAUGACGUACGAGUGAAACUCAAGCUCAGACAGUAGUGAUUCAAAGUUGUCAACCUCCUCCAUAAAAGAUGGUUGGAACCCUUCCAUCUGACCAGAAAAGAUCAGAAAUUAAAGACAAAAAACUGAGGUCUAAAAAGAACAGAAAGCACUAAUCAGAAAAGAAUAUAUAUAUAUAUAUAUAUAUAUAUAUAUAUAUGACUUUCUUGUUGGUUAAAGAAAUUCGGAUGAAAAAUAUGAAAUAUAAAUGUUGUUGUUAAUGAUUUAAUCCUUUGUCUUGUAAGAUAAAUUAUCAUACUCAAAUUCAGUAUUGAUUUAGUAUGAACUCUCUCCACAAGGCAUGGAUUAUAAAAUCCGAGAAAAAGAUCAAUUUAUUUAUCAUGGAUUCCUUUCAAGAUUCAAACCAUACUUACAUAAUAAUUUACCAACAAGAUUCAAGUGCUGGUUUGCUUGAGCAGUGAUCAGCCAAAAGAAAAGGAAGAGAAAUCACAGAUCACAGAAGAAUAUAUGGUUUAGAAAAAUAAUAAAGUUGCAGCAUACAUAAAUCUAGUUCGCUCUGAUCAUGAGAUGUGGAAAGGAAAAUAGGGAAUUCUAUAAUGAGAUGAGAUGUGGAAGAGAAUGUUACAGCAGCAAUAAUAAUACUAUUUUUUAGAAAAGUCAGCUCAAUAAUAAUAAUUAAUUAACGUAUUGCUUGAUAGGAAGGAAGUUACCAGGAAGCAACCCAAACAUUACAUUAUAAGAUAUAGAAAGUUAACGUGUGGACCAUGUUCAGACUUCGAAGAACCUGCCAAGAAAAUGUAAACACAUGAAAAUGAGAAAGAAGCAUGCCCCAUCUCGUGAAGUUCUACGUGUACGUAUUUAACUUUACAAUAUUCUUUGCUGUGAAAAUAUAUCAUAUAUAGUAAAUAAUAUAAGUGCUUAUACAUCUUCUUUUCUUUUCUUUUUUUAACUUUAAACAGAGAGGUGGCUGCCCCAAUACAUUCAGCCUGCCGACUCUUAUUUUUUUGGGAGUAUUAAUUCCGUGAUGGAAUUGGAGGUACUGCUUUCUUCAUCUGUUAUUCCUGUUAUCUCCUCCAUUAUCUCACAAUCACUAGCAUCAAUCAUUUUCAGGUUUACGAGGUUUGACAGCAACACAAGUGGGAACAGCUUCUUCAUACUCUUACAUCCAUAACAAUAAAACUUUUUAAGACCAGAAAACAUACCAUUAUAUGAUGGCAAUGGUGAGAUGGAGCAUUGCAGAACCAAGAAGAUGAAACCAAGCUCUACAUGCUAUUGCAAUCCCAAAUGUUGAUGUCCUCUAGUUCAGUUGCAUUCUCUAAUGACAAAACAUCACAUAAACUUCUUGGAUCGAUGCAUUCACAAACCAGUUCUUGAAUGCCAUUUAAGUACUUGACUUGAAAAUCUCUCUAUGUUGAUACUCAAAUGACCCAACGCAACUAUUUUACUUAAAAAAACUCAAUCCUACCUAAUUUAUUUAAAAAAAAAUUAGGAAAAUUAAGAUUUUUUUUUUUAAUGAUAUGCCAUCUAUCUGCACUCCCUGCUAACUCUUCGCUUCAUAUCUUAAGUUAUAUCUAUCAAGUUAGAUUUAUCAAGUUUGCUUAAUUAAGACGGAAUAUUUAUGACUUUUACAUGUAUUAAGUUAAUAUAAUUGUACAUGGCAUGCACUUUAAAGCUCCGAACAUCAGUCAAUGAUUUAAUAGAGAAUAAAAUUUAAUUUUAAAUGCAAAUUAUAGGAUUUGUUGGUGCUGGUUUUAUUAAAUCAAUAUUAUAGUAAAACAAUUAAAUCAAUACAGAUAAAUAAAUGAUCCAAAUAUAAUAAAGAAUUAAUCCAUUUAAUAGAGAAAACAUGACUGAAUCCACAAACUACAUAAAUCCCUUUUUCUUUCUUCCCCCUUUUAUUCUCUAGUGCAACUCCCACGCGUCUUCUUUAUGCCAAAUGCCCCUCUUUUCAAAUUAGGCAUCUUCAACCUCCUUUUUCAUCACUCUCCAUGAUCUGUCAAAAACAAAUUGCUUAGAUUUUAGGAUUUUUUUUUGGCAGCCACGUACAUGCUUUAGGAGUUCCUUUUUUGAAAUCCUCACUAGAGGCUAAUAUCUAGCCCUUCAAGAUACCUUUACAACGCGUCAAGAAUCACAGCAAUCCUGUGAGUGGAAAGUUAUGAUUAAAAAAAAACUAAAAGGGAUCAGACAAUCACUGUAGAUUGUGUCUAAAAUCACUAUGGAUUGCACUGUUUACAUUUAAAAUUCAUUGUCGCCGCAAGUGCCAAUUUUGUUUCACUGUUUUUUCAUUUAUUUCGUGGGGCACGUGGAAAGCUUUUCAUCUCUUUGUUUUUUCUGAUACAAACACAGAGAACGCCUCCCAAACUCAAAUAACACAUUCACAAUUCCAGAUCUAUCUCUUCCCUGAUCUGUUUUAGUUUUUUUUUAAUUAAAAAAAAAUGCUAAAAGGGCUUAAGGAAACAUUGUGCCCACUGUGUGUAAUUACUGUGGGCUGGAGCUUAGUGUCUUCUCGCGCUAAGUUGGAAUUCAUGGAGGGAAGAUCGUCUUGGUUUCACUCCAAGAUCUCAGUUUGCAUUUGAGUUCUCAUCAGGAGGUCUGGGCGGAGCUUGCGUUUCGUUCACUCAGAAAGAAUGGGAUCCGGAUCUGUAAGUGAUUUUCUUCCUUGCUUUUGUUUGGAUGUGAGGUUUUCGGUGGGUUAAUUGGAAGCAAUGCUUGGCAGCUGGGAGCAGUGAAGUCAAGGUGGGAAGAAAGGUAUUAAGGUGUGGGUGUAGUCAGGUGGACACAUGAUAAGGUGUGAGCAUAGCUUUCAUUAGCUCUCCAUUUGAUGGAGUCCUACUAUUGAUUGAUUAUCUGAUUGAUGGUCGAGAUAUGGACAUAUUGUUUGUUCUGCUAAGAUCAAGAGAUCUAGAAAACAAUAGGCUUCGUUCGUUAAAGCGCGGGGCUCCUGGCUAACAAACGCCCACUAAAUGUCAUUUUGAUUACCAAGCGCGUGUAACUGGUAAUAUACUGGAUUUAUUCGUGAAUGACAUAUUGUAUUUUAAAUUGUUACUGAAAUAUAUUAAAAUAAUUUUAUUUUUUAAAAUUUAUUUUUAAUAUCAUCUUAAAAUAAUCAAAUGAUAUAAAAAAAAUAUAUAAUUUUUUUAAAAAAAAAACACAGUUAAAUCGCAUGCAUGACCAUUAUAGCAUGACAUCUUGCCAUUAUUAUUAUAGAAAAUUAUUAUAACAAAAUCUAAAAGGCAUGUGGGAUUUAUUUUGCAAAUCACAUUGUGUAUUAUCUAUUCAUAUGUAUUAGUUAUUUACGAUGUUUUUUAUUCCAAGGCUUUUUUAAAAACAAUUUGCCCUUUUUAGACUAAAUAGAAUGCCAGUUUAAAUAAAACCAUCAAGGUAGUAUAAAAUUAAAAAAAAAAGUGAAAAAAAAGAAGAAGAAAUUAGAUGGAGGAUUUGAAGUUUGCGGAAAAAAUAAAUUGGUUCUUUUUACUGUUUCAAUUAAGCAUUUUUUAUUAUAUCUUUAUGUUUUUUUUUUAGCAGGUUACAGGUAAAACUUUUUAUCGCUUUGUUUUUUCUGGUACAAACACAGAGAACGCCUCCCAAACAAAUCAAAUAACAUAUUCACAAUUCCAGAUCUAUCUCUUCCCUGAUCUGUUUUAAUUUUUUUUUAAUUAAAAAAAAUGCUAAAAGGGCUUAAGGAAACAUUGUGCCCACUGUGUGUAAUUACUAUGGGCUGGAGCUUAGUGUUUUCUCGCACUAAGUUGGAAUUCAUGGAGGGAAGAUCGUCUUGGUUUCACUUCAAGAUCUCAGUUUGCAUUUGAGUUCUCAUCAGGAGGUCUGGGCGGAGCUUGCGUUUCGUUCACUAAAAAAGAAUGGAAUCCAAAUCCGUAAGUUAUUUUCUUCCUUACCUUAUAGCGCUUUGUCUGAUGGGGAAUUUUAGCUCCUCCUUUUUCUUGCUUCUUGGGUCCUCACGGGCAGAUUUUAUAAUUGCAUAAUAUAGAUCCCAAAAGGAAAGACCAGGAAAUGAAGAGUGAACGACGACUUGGAUUUCAUGAUGGCUUAGGCUAAAAGGUAGAGGGACUUUAUUUUGCAGAGACGUCGCCGCCACCAUAAAAUAUGGCUUGAUUUUAGGAGUCCUUUCUUCUGGGUUGUGUGUGUUCUCAGUAUGCUACAUUAAAUGCAACGCCCACUUGGUUAGAUUUGAUUGAGAGAGCAGGUGAGUUUAUUUGUGAUUAGUAAUUUGGUCAGAUUUUGUAUAUUAUUGCAGUGAUUGACUGACCAGUUUUGGUUUUUUUUUAAAUUAAUUUAAUUUUUAGUUUGCUUUUUUGCAAAAUAUCACUUGACAAUGAAGCUUUGUUUGUUAGGUGGCUUGGCAUGGAUUAAAAGUCUUUUUGUGGUUCUUAUUUAUAUGUCUGCUUGCAUUUCUCUAUGCUGGUAUGUUUUUUUUCCAAGAAUUAAGGUGUUGACAUGCAUUUGGAUGUCUCAGUUGAGAUGGUUGAGAGUGUGUUGGUUCAGCAUGCUGAUGAAAGGAGAAGAAAGGUAUGGUUUUAAGCUGUUUCAGCUGACAGGCAUUUAAUGCAUGUCAAGGUUGGCAUGUUGCUGCCAUUGUGAUGUGCAGUGUUUUUCUUGAGUGGGAAAUGUGGAGACAAAGUGAGGGGGUUGAUUUGUUAGUUUGAUUCUGACUUGGGUAGGUGAUGGGUUGUCCUAUUGGAAUAUUUUUUAAGAAAUCUAUUUCAUAUCUGGUUAUUUUUUCUUGAGCGGGAAAUGUGGAGACAAGGUGGAGGGGCUGAUUUGUUAGUUUAGUUCUGACUUGGGUAGGUGGUGGGUUGUCCUGUUGGAAUAUUUUUUAAGGACUCUAUUUCAUAUCUGGUCAGAUUAGUAACCUUCCUUUUUCAUCAUCGGAUUUUAAGAAAAGCAUAGAACACUGACAAAAAAAUUACAAUUCCAAAAGGGGAUGAAGUUAGAGAUUGAGUAUUUGUGUAUAUUUCUACAACAAAUGUUAGUAAAGAAUAGAUGAUACAGCUGGUUUUGACUUUAGAAGGUCUUCUGCUACUAUAGACAUUGUGUUUUGCAACAAUUACACUAGACACGCAGACAGUGGGCUCCCCUUCUUGGCAGGAUGAACCGGGUACCAUGUUCUGAUAGCAGGAUCACAACCCGUGUUAUACUAUGACAAAGGUUAGUUUUUUAAGAUUAUUCUAUGCUUUUUCUCAACUUUAGUUUCAAAUCAAUUUGGGUUGCAAGUUAUGAACUUUGUGCUGAGAGGUUUGCUUAGACAUGUCAAUGCUUUUUUCCAACUUUUUCCUUUCAUGUGAAAGCCAGAUCUCUUCAUUGUUUCUUAACUGUAUUUUUAAGAUUUUGCUCCUUUUAGUUGUCUUUAAUUUUUUUUUGUUUUGUUGAGUGAUUAUUUGUAGCAUUGUUUGUUGCCUUUUUUGUUAUUAGUAAUAUACCAAUUCUUAUGCCCAAGUAAUAUUUGACUAUAAACAUUCAGCAAAUCAAAUUUAAUAGCAUUAGCCCACAAGGACACUCCAAGCACAAAAUUACCUUAGCCAAAACAGCAAAAGACAACUGGAAUAGACCAUUUUGAAGCACGAACUGAUCUUUCGGCCAAAAACUUAUUGCGUCUGGAUUUUAAUUCCUCUGCUUCUAGAUUUUCAGAUUCAUUAGCAAGUAAGGAAAAUACAGAAUCAGUGGCAGGGGCAGUCUUCGGCAUUGAUGAAGUGCGUGCUUAACUUCUAUGAAUCUUUUUUCAAUGGAUAAAUGAAGUCCAGGUAGAUUAACUGGUGUUGUUCUCUCUCCUGCACUUUGCCUUCCAGAACAGUUUGUGUUUGGCUAAAAGCAGAUAACUAUGCACAAUUUGAUUUCUAUGGCUUAGACAAUUCAGGAAAACGAAAGACAUGGUUUUGUAACACUAUGUUAUUUGCAAUCUAUAUUUGGGCUAGAAAAAACAGAGCCUAAUCUUCUAGAACAUUUAACACUGUUUGGCCAUGGAAGCCUACAGAGUUUGACAAUUGUGCUGCACGCUUUAGGGAAUUAAAAAAAAAGCAGCAGAAUGGAAAGACCAUGGAAUUUUCAUAGUGUUAGCAAAAAACCUCUGUAUAUCUUCACUACCUCUUUUUUUUAAACGCCUUUUCAUAACCUGGACUAGAAGUCUAGCACAUAAAAAAAGAUUUUCAAUCAACAACACAAGAGAUUUAGGGUAAGUGUUUUUUGUUCCAUCUUGCUUUAAUGAGAUUCUAUCAUCUACUGUCCAAUACCCGCACGGCCAGCCAGCCUGACUCAUCAUAGUUCAUUCAUUCAUAUAUGAUUAAUUAUGUAUGGGGCCAGUAUUAUUUAAUUUCUUCUUUAUUUUCUCAUCACAGCUCUGCGUUUUCUUCUCUAUACCCAUUUUGAUUUACAAAUAUUUCAAAGGGAAUUUUUUAUUUGUCUCACAAAUUGAAACUGUUCUUGCGUUCUGGCAAGAUUUCCCUUGAAAGAUAUGGAUCAAGGCUCCUGAAAAUGUCUUAUAGCAUUGUUACUGUUACUAUUCUAUAAAUGUCGGUGUCCAAAAAUCACAAAUAAAUACAAAAGUGAGCAUAAAUGUUUUUAUUUGACAUAACAACUGCAAGUCAUGCUAAACAAAUAUAUAUUAACUUGCAUAACAUAUAGGAAAACAAUCAUGUAUGCAUACUAAAUAUGUAUAGAAAUUAUAUUUAAAUAAAGGUAUUUAGGAUGCUUUUUAUUAAUUUAGAGUAUUAUCAGUUUUAAAUCAUCUUGAGAUAUCUUUAUUUGCAUGCAAUUUGUAAGACUUUUUUAAAAUUUUCAGAAAAAGAUAUUAGCUACUAAGUAAAUCAUUGUUCUGGAAAUUCAAUGCAUUUGAAACUUGAAAUGUUUGCUUUCAUGGUUUUGGUAUAAAUUAACUACAAUUUUCAAACUGAAUUCCACGUAAAGCUGGAGAAUUAAGAUUUUUUUUUUCUUGAUUAGGUUAGUGCCCACGUAGAGGAAUUGCUUGAGUCGUUGACUGACCUCUUCUCAGUCCAAAUACAUAAUAAUGAACCUGUCUAGACUGUAGUUAUUAAUUAGUACUAUCUUUUUUCAUUAAGCAUUAAACAAGUAUGUUGUAUCACUUUGUGUUCAAUUCUCUCUAUGUGAGCAAGGCAGUGGAAGUAGGGAACAACUUUGUUGUUCACCAAGCUGAUCAAGUCAUGGCUGAAAAAGCCAAAACCUUGCAAGAUCGCAUUGUAAUCUCUCUUAACAUUGAUUUUUAAUUGUAAUUAGGGUUUUUGACUUGGCUGGAUACAUUUGAUUCUAUCAUAGUUUUUUUAAUUAGUUUAUUUGUUCCGUAAAAUGAAUAGAUUAGUUGUUUAAUUUUCAAUUGGUCUUGAUGCUUUAUUCCUUAAUUUCUUCCCUCCGAUUUUGUGUGCAGUCAAGAGAACUAGCUAUGCUUGCAAUUUCAGUUCUCGCUGUCAUUUUCUUAGACAAUUUGUGUUACCAAAAAGCUUUGGUUGAGACAGGCAACUUCUUAACUACACCAUCUUCACUUUUGUCUUUUCUACUUUGAAUAAUUUUGUCACUCAAUGGAAGGCUGGUUGAAUUUUAAUAACUUGAGUUUGGGGUGUUGUUUUGCUUUGCUGGAAAAUAUAUGAUUGAUGAUGUGUAUUUUUUAAAAAGGUGUUGCUUGAACUCAUGCUUAGUAAUAUGUGUUCUUUUUAAAAAAAAUAAUUGAACUCAUGUUAAUGGUUAUUUAAAGAGAUACAUGCUGAAAUGAAAGAUACUUAAGAAUAAAAAAUAAUAAUAUGUUGACGAUUUUUCCGUUUGCUUCUAUGCUUCAAAACGAAGAAUUAAAUUGGUUUUUGGUUUGGCAUUGUAAUUUAAGGUGUUGUAUGUUGAAUUAAGAAUUUUUAAAUAUUACUUUGUCCAUACAAUUUUUUUUAUAUAUAUUUCGGGUCCAUGUUUUUUAUAGUUGAGAGUUUUUUGCUUUAUUCCAUGUGGUCUUUUUAAUUGGCAAGGGCUAUCAUGUGGCAUUGUUUUUUUUUUUUUUUCCAUUUCAGUAACUACAGCUCCCCUUAUUGUUUUCAUUUGCUUAUGUGGUUUUGUUUGUUUUUUUUUCCUUUUCCUGUCAUCUUAUAUGUAUGCCUUUGAAUGGGUUCCAUUUUUUUUUUCCAGUUUACUAGGUAAUGUGUGAGUUGUAUUGUGUUCUCUCAUUCCUUUGUAACAUGAUCAACAUAAUGCAUACAUUAUCUAAUAACAUUUUUCUCCUGCACUAUGUUCCCACAAAGCCUUAGGUGGCUUCAUUGUUGUUAAGCUUCACGUGUUUUGUUCCCUUUAAAAAAAAAUGUUAUUUAAGAUGAGGCAUUUGAAGUUGAUUGGUGCUUCAGAUAUGAGAAAAACAAUUUGUUUGUGGUUUUUUUCCAUCUGGAUUUUAGGUGCUAAUUUGGCUGAUUAGUGGAUUUAUGCAUAUGAAAAUGUUUAAUUUACAGGUUGUUUUAUUUUGUGUGGAUCUUCUUAGAAUGUUUAAUUGUGUAGGCUAUUGAUCUUGCUAUCCACUUUCAAGGAAUAUUUCACAAGGUAUUUUCAUGCCUCUUUUUUUUUUAUUAAACAGUGUUCUGGUUCUUAGUUGUUUCAUUCUUUCUUACAAGCUAUUUUCUACUAAAUUUUUUAGAAUAUGUUUGUUGUUGUUGAAAGAGCUUAAGUUAAGUUAAUCAAUGCUUAUUCUUUGUUUGCAUGAUAGCUUGAGAUUAGGGUGUUGUUUUGCUCUGUUGGAAAAUAUAUGCUUGCUGAUAUGUGUGUUUUUUUAAAAAAAAAAGGUCUUGCUUGAACUCAUGCUUAGUGAUAUGUGUUUAAAAAAAGAGUUGAUUGAACUCAUGUUAGAGGUUAUUUAAAGAGAUGCAUUCCGAAAUGAAAUAUGCUUAAGAAUAAAAAAUAAUAAUAUAUUGCAGAUUUUUCCAUUUGGGUGUUAAUUUCUAGCUUAACUGAUGAAAUAAUUUAGGCAAUCAAUUUUAUUACUUCUAUGCUUCAAAAUGAAGAAUUAAAUUGUUUAUUGAUUUGACAUGGUAAUUUAAGGUGUUGUAUGUUGAAUUAAGAAUUUUUGACAAGUUGUUUUAUAUUUCGUUGGCCUAUGAAUUAAAUUAUAUAUAGUUAGCAAUUAAAUUACGACUUUAAAUUUCAGUGUGUAUGAUUUCUGCCUGAAAUGGUUUAAAACUUUACGCUUAGCCAUUAUUGUUUUAUUGGGUUCUAUUUUCUCUCCACAAAUAUACAUUGCUCAUUUCAAGACCUUUCAAUUCAAUUACAUAUGAUUGCUGGCUACUUUUUUUUUCAACAAAACUUGCAUAGAGAAAAUUCUGUUUCUGAGAAUGUAUUGUUAAUUGCCAUGACUUUAAUUAAUUUUGGUUGCAUGUAAUUGUAAUGUGUGAGUUGUAUUGUGUUAUCUCAUUCCUUUGUAGCAUGAUCAGCAUAAUACAUACGUUAUCUAAUAACAUUUCUUUGCUGCACUAUGUUCACACAAAGCCUUGGGUUACUUCAUUGUUGUUAAACUUCACGUUGUUUUGUUCCCUUUUAAAAAAAUUGUUAUUUGAGAUGAGGCAUUUGAAGUUGACUGGUGCUUCGGAUAUGAGAAAAACAAUUUGUUUGUGGUUUUUUUCCAUCUUGAUUUUGGGUGCUAAUUUGGGUGAUUAGUGGAUUUAUGCAUUUGAAAAUGUUUGUUUUACAGGUUGCUUUAUUUUGUGUGGACCUUCUCAGAAUGUUUAAUGGUGUAGGCUAUUGAUUUUGCUAUCCACUUUCAAGGAAUGUUUCACAAGGUAUUUUCAUGCCUCUUUUUUUUAUUAAACAGUGUUCUGGUUCUUAAUUGUUUCAUUCUUUCUUACAAGCUAUUUCUACUAAAUUUUUUAGAAUAUCUUCGUUGUUGUUGAAAGAGCUUAAGUUAAAUUAAUCAAUGCUUAUUCUUUGUUUGCAUGAUAGCUUGAGAUUAGGUGUUGUUUUGCUCUGGUCGAAAAUAUAUGCUUGCUGAUAUGUGUUCUUUUUUUAAAAGGUGUUGCUUGAACUCAUGCUUAGUGAUAUAUGUUUUAAAAAAGAGUUGGUUGAACUCAUGUUAGAGGUUAUUUAAAGAGAUGCAUUCCGAAAUGAAAUAUGCUUAAGAAUAAGAAAUAACAGUAUGUUGAAGAUUUUUCCAUUUGGAUGUUAAUUGUUAGGUUAGCUAAUGAAAUAAUGCAGGCAUCAAUGUUAUUUCUUUUAUGCUUGAAAACAUAAAAUUAAAUUGUUUAUUGGUUUGACAUGGUCAUUUAAAGUGCUACCGUUGAAUAAAGAAUUUUUAACAUGUUUUAUUUUUCCUUGGCCUUUAAAUUAAAUUAUAUGUAAUUAGCAAUUAAAUUAUCACUUUAAAUUUCAGUGCAUAUAAUUUGGGCCUAAAAUGGUUUAAAGCUUUGUGCUUAACCAUUAUUGUUUUAUUGGGUUUUAUUUCGCAACAAUAUACAUUGCCAUAUCAAGAUUUUUCAAUUCAAUUACAUUGAUUGCUGGCUAUUUGUUUCCAACAACACUUGCAUAAAAAAUUCUCUUUCUGAAAUUAUGUUGUUAAUUGCCAUUACUUUAGUUAAUUUCAGUUGCAUGUAAUUGGUGAUUGAAUUGUCGCUGCUUUGAAGUGGAUGCAUAUAAUUAGUGGUUGAAUUGGUUUACAACAAGAUUUUGGUGGAAAAUAGAAUAGUUCAUUUGGUAUCACCUUUGUUUGUUGCAACAAAUUCUACUCACUUUCUUUAUUGUUGCAUUUGCUUCUUUUCAUUACAACAACUAUUAUUUUUGCAGCAGAUUAAACAUAUUUUUCAUAAUUUUUUUCUUUUGAUUUUCAUAAUCACACAUUUUUUUAUUAUUGUUGUUGUCCAUCUUUAAAGAUCAAAUUUCCUUGCUAACUUUCUAUUUUUCACCAUAUGUUACAGGCAUGUUAUUUCAAUAGCUGUUGAACUAUCUCCAGGUUGCAGGAAGCUGAAACACCACCUUUUUCCUGUCUCACUCAAGCUAUAGGUACACCUUUAUUUUCAAACUUGACCUGUUUUUUGCUUGCAACUUUGUCACUGUAUUUUUCUUUUCCACUAUAUGCUUGCUUUUUUAUGGAUUAAUUUGGAUUUUUAUAUAUGUUCAUGUUUCCAUUAUUACAUAAUUAACUUUUUUGGUGAAUUUUUUAAUCUUAUUCUUUCAUUAAAUAGUUUUCUUUUAAUUGUUUUCCAUUGAAAUUUUUGAUUUUUACCAUAUUAUUAAAAUUGCCUUGAUUGGAAAAUUAGAAACCAUUUGAUUUAGUUUUAGUUAGAUUUUGAGUUAGAUUGUAUUUAAGUGGAAGUUGAAUUAUCGCUUUGGAUUUGAUUUCAUAUAAUAUGGUUGAAAUCAUUGACAACAUUAUGCUUGGCCGUUAUUUUGUUUUGUUCUUUUUCUCCACAACAAUAUACAUUGCACAUGUCAAGGCUUUUCAAUUCAAUUACAUAUGAUGACCUGCUAAUUUUUUUUGAACAAUGCUUGCAUGAAGAAAAUUUUCUUUGUUAUAAUUAUGUUGUUAAUUCCCAAGAUUUUAAUUUGAGUGUAAUUGGUGGCUGAAUUAAUGCUUUUAGUUGCAUUGCAUAUAAUUAAUGACUAAAUUGGUUUACAACAAGAAUUUGGUGAGAAAAAGUUUGUUCAUUUCGUAACAGCUCUAUUUAUUAGAACAAUUUCCACUCAUUUUCUUUAUUUUGUUGCAUUUCCUUCUUUCUAUUGGAACAACUCUAAAUUUUGCGGCAUAAUGAACACGUUUUACGCUUUGAAUUGAAUUGCAUAUAAUUUGUGGCUUAAUUGGUACUAUUUUUUUUUAUUAAUCAUUUGCAGGACAAUGGCUCUACCUAUAAAGAGAUUAAAAAAUACAACUUCUACCCUUCAUUACGAGCUAGGGCCUGUCGAGUUUGGAUUGCUAAAUUUAAUGGUCAGCCAAGCAGUUUUAAUUGUGUUUUUGUUGACAAUCAGGUAUAAUUUAUCAUGAAAAUAUAACCACUAAUGAAUCUUAUUUUCUAUAUAUUUAAAUGUUUGAAUAAUGCAUGUCCAACUCAUUUCUGAAUAUUUUCUUUACUUUGGCAAUUUAACAUUUUUUUUACUUAACCAGGGUACUUAUUUGCUCUUAAGAUUCCCUAUGGAAAACCAAGUUUCCUUUCCUUUUUAAUUCAUUACUAUAGAACUAUAGUUAAGUUCACUACUAAACCACAAUUGCUUAUUCAACUUAUGGAAAAAACUUUUCAAUAUUGAAAUUGUUAAGAAAAACUAACAUGAUCAAUUUUUAGCAUCCAUUUAUGAUUUACAAUCAACUUUGUUUUCUACAUGCUUAAAAAACCAGACAAUCCCAAGCAUUGCAUUUGCUUUAUAUAAUCCAUAGAAAAUUUCAUACAGGUCAAGCAAAUUUCAUUUUUCUAUUACUUGACAUGAUUUAUAUAAGAGUUUGAGAAAUUUUACGAUGCAUCACUGCUAACUACCAAUUACCAUGAAAAUCUCAGUUACAAUUCCAUACUAGAGCCACGGUUUACCAGGUAUAUUACAUCCAAUUAUAAACAACAUUGAGAAGCAACCAACAAGUAUAUUUAUCUUUUAUUCUAUACAUCUUUUAUAUGCAGCUUUCAUUUAUACAAUGGUCUACUAAUUAAUUAUUAUAUAUGUGCAUCCUGCUAGAAAUAAUGUUUCACCUUCACCUCAAGACAUGUUUGUUGACUUAGAAAAUCUUGCUUCAAAUUCAUAGACUUUAUACGUAACAACCAAUUUAAACAUUUUAAGAAAUAUUAAGACAUAAAAUCUCUUAAAUUCAUUAUUAAAACCAGUCUUUUAACUUAAUGUUCCAGUAGUACCAAUACCUCACUUCCAAUGUCAUCAAAAAUCUUCUUGAAAUAAUUUACAAAACCUUAUUACAUAUUGCAUUCAAAAUUCUAAACCUUAUUACAUAUUGCAUUAAAAACUCUAUUCCAUUUGGUUGUUGGCAUGGUGAACAAUUAUUUUUUUCAUUCCAACGUUAAUCUUUUUUUUAUAUAGGGUGGAGCUAUUCAAGCUGUAGCUAAAACAAGAGAUCUCCCAACAUUUGCAGCAACAGUUAUUGAAGGAAAUCACUAUGAAAUCAAAGGAUUUUAUACUUAUGAAAACAGAGCAGUAAACACAGUUGCUGCCCAUGAUGUUGUGAUUGAUCUCAAAUCUAACACAAAGAUUACAGGCAUUGAAGCUAUUUCACCUUCUGUUCCUAGAUACUACUUUAAUUUUAUUGACUAUGCACAUAUUAUGACCAAGUCAAAAAGCUCCAGAAUUCUUACAGGUUUACCAUUUACUUCAUUCAUUUAGCCUAUUAUUAAACAUUUUUAUUAUUGAACUCAGCUUGAUAACAUCACUUAAAAGCAUUCAUUCCUGUUUUUUAAGAUGUCCUUGGAAGACUUAAAGCAUUGCAGCCACUUGAACAAGUUAUGGUUCGUGGACAGACGCUCGAAAAUAAGAGAGAAUUCAUGCUUGAGAACAUUCGGUGAGUUGAAAAAUUAAAUGCAAAUUACCUUACUUUUAUCAAGCUUAUUGAUCAAAUUUGUUUUGUAUUUUCUUUCAAAGUGGUGAGGAGCUUCGCAUAACUCUUUGGGGUGAUAGUGCUAGAGAUUUUGAUGGACUCGCUCUUCAUAACCUGCCAUCUCCGGUUAUCAUUGCGUUUGCUGGAUUUCGUGUCACGGAAUUUAAGGGUAAUUUUAACUUCUAUUUCUUUUUUUUCUAAAAAUUUUUUUUUUUUUAUUAUCAUUCUGAUCCAACUAAUUCUCCUUUCAUUUUAUUACAAAAACUCUUUUGUUCACAAGGAAAACCAAAUCUUAACAGUACAGCCGCCUCUCUUUGGUACUUCAAUCCAGACAUACCAGAAUGCUUGGCAUAUAAACAUUUGUAAGUUAUUCAACAUCAACCAUCUCUCUUAUGCUUUACCAUUAUCAAUUUUUUUCUAACUAAUUAUUUUUUCACCAUUUUUUAAUCGAUUGUACACGCAGCUUUGCACAACUACCCGUUGAAAUACAACAACUCCCUUCAUCAUCAAAUGUUGUUUUAUCGAUAGAGGAACAAAUCAAAUAGGAGAACAAUACAUGAGAUUCUUUGCAUGAAUCCUUAUGAGCACAAGGUUAUUUUUUAAACCCUUUUAUUAUUAGCUUUGAUAACAUACUUUACCUUCUUCAUAUAAUUAGUUUUUAAAUUUCAUUAACACACUUUGAAACAUGUAUUUCCUUUCCAUUACCAGCAUCUAAGAUUCACUGUCAAGCUUCGAUUGUUGACUUUGAUUUUCCCAAUGGCUGGUGGUAUCCAAGCUGUCCAAAAUGCAACAAAAACUUAGGGGGCGAAACAAUUACACAUGCAUGGAUCAUGAUGCUAUCACCUCUCUUCCAUUCCAUGGUAAGUCAUCUAAUUUCACAACUAAAGCAAUAUUAAGUUGUUAAAUAAAAAAAUCAUAUUCCUUGAUACAUUAUCAUGCACUUCUUAUUAAUGAACAUGUAUCAAUUUUAUAUUAUAGGUUUCGCUUAGAAUGCAUUGUUACCGAUGGAGAAGAUGUCACUAAUUUUCUUCUAUUUGGGAAAACUGCUGAGAACUUUUUUGGAUCAUCGGCCACCAUUAUGUCUAUGAUAAAAAAUUUAUUGAUCCCUCAGUUCUUCCUCCUGCCAUGGCAGCAAAGUUAAACAAAAGCAUGAUUUUUAGCUUCGAUUUGGUGCUUUCAGAUCCAUCACCAACAGAUGUGAGGUUAUCAUUACUAAUAUCUUUGACGACAAAUAAGAGCAUCCAUCCUCUAGAAACAGCAACUCCAGAAGCUAAAUCAUCUCCUACAUCCAAGACAUCUACUCCAUUAAGCUAUAUGAAACAGGUUCUCAAGCUCCAUCAACUCCACAAAUACUGUCACACAACUCAGGAUUGCUCCUGAUUCCUUGGAGACACCACCUCAGAACAUAUCACCAAACAAGGAAACAAGCAUAAACAGUGAAGCACGACGUGCACUUGAUUUUGAAGAUGCACAGCAGCUCAGGCAAGUUUACAUUUCCCCACACUUUCUUUACAUUUUUUUUCCUUAACACGUGCUAAAUUUGAUGGUUCUGCCUUGCAUCUCUUUAAUUCCUUUGGUUACAAUAGUCAUGAAGAUGAGCAUGACAAAGCAAUUGAAGUCCAAGGAAACCUGGGAAACAUAGCUACAUCUGAGACAUUUGAUCACUCACUUCCACCUUUGAAAAAACAACGGGCAACAUCCUCAUCAUCCUCGAAGGUUUGAUUUUUAACCUCACAUUCUUAUAAAUCAAUUUCCAAUUUGUCCAACAUGCCUUUUAUUUGUUAUUUAUUUUGUAAUUCUAUUUGUUUUUUAUUAUUUUACAUUUACCUAUUUCUCUUCACUUCACAGCCUAUAAUUCCUGAGUUCUUUUAUUCUUUACAUGCUAAUUAUACAUUGAAAACAAUUCUUAAAAGAGAAAAAAUCAUUCCCUGGAAAAUUUAUAUAUCAAUAUUAAUACUUUUCAUUAAAACCAAAGAAUUAGUAAAGGUAUGAAUUAUUAACAAUGAGAAGAAAACAUAAUUAUUAUGUGCACACAUAAAUACUUAGAUAAAGAAGAUCAUUACUUUAUAUAUGUGCAUAUGUUACUUAAACAAUUGCAAUAAUAUGGUUACUUUCUUGGUGAAUGCUGUAAAUUAAAGUCAUUCCAGAGGUUGGGGAACCAUGACACCAAUUCCUGAUACAUGAUAUGCACAAUGGAUGUCCACAUUUAGGCAGGACUGCAAGCCUUCUUUUAGGUGUUGUAGGCUUUGAAAGCACACUAUCCAGGCACACUGCACUCAAUUUCUUCACUAUGUUUUAAUGCCACAAGAAACUUUUGUUUCGUUUCUUCUCACAUGAUUCAAAUGCUCCCCUCUUUCAUCUUCCCUGAAGGAAUAAUCAGCAAUGUGAUGCUGGAGUUUUUUGAGAAAAAAUUUUUCCUUUUUUUUUUCAGUUUAGGAUUUUUAUUGCUUUGAAAAAGGUUUUAUAAUGACUACAUAAACUGUAUAUACAAUAAUGUAAAAAAAAAGAACAUGGUCAAUUUUUAUAUCUUGCUUCAUCACACAUUUAACUUCAUCUACUACACAAAUGUUCACAGAAUUUUCAACCUUCAAUUACAUCUAUAAACAAAAACAAAAAAACCAAAAAUUUUUGUGAAGGCUAUUUAACAUGUCCAAAAAAUACUAACAACAAUGACUUGGAUUUGUUGUCUUUACAUUUUUUUUAUUGUUUACAUUGCAGAAACUAGCAAUUCCUUACAAUGACUUGGUUUAGAUUCCUGUAGCAAGACAUGGAGAGGAAUCUGGCAGCUUAUUUCCACUUUUGAUGUUGUUUAUAACUUAAUCUAUAUUAUCAUGACUGCUGCCUCUGUAAUUUUGAUAUAGUUUGGAAACAACAAUGUCCUUUAAGUGCUCAGCAAUCUGACAGUUUAUUUGCAUUUUGUUGUUAUUUAUAACUUUAUCUAUAUUAUCAAACCUUUGAUAUUAUACCUAGCUGCAGUUUUUUUUAUUAUUGCUUAGCAAUUAUUAUUUUUCAUGCAUGUUAUGCUUAUUCUGGUAAAAAACUGCAUUUUCAUUCAUAACCUAAAAUCGCCCGCAGCAAAGCGCGGGCAAUCAAGCUAGUUAAAAUACUAAAGUGUGUGGAGGUUGUUUCCAAGAAAAAAGAACAUUACUACUACUUUUAAGUGUAUCUUUUGAUGUUUUCCGGUUUUGAAAAUGCGCUUAAGCUUUUAAAUGUUUUUUUUUAUUUGUCUCUAGAAAAUAUUAAUUUGAUAAUUUUUCUAGUAUGUUGCAAUAAUUUUAGUAUAGUGAUAUUAAAAAUAAAAAAAAAUUACAAAAAUUAUCUCUAAAAUACACUUUUAAUAUAUACUUUAUAACACAAUAUGUCAUGAAAACAUAGUCCCAAAAGCCUUCGACCGAGCAUAAAAAGGUUUUCAACCCAAUCAUGCUUUUUCCUUAUUAUAAAUACAAAAUAAAGUUCGAGUGAAGUAGUAGGGUACAAUCUUAAAUGGUCCAAACAUUAUUGUUAGAAUGUGACUGUGGUCCCAACAUUAUUGUAGCAUGUGCCAUGUCUCAAACUCCUAUGAUCAAAAAAUCAGGUUAUUGGUGUUUGAUGAAAUUAGUUGUCACUAAAAAUAAAAUAAAAUCCUUUGUGAAUUAAUUAAUUAUUCAAUUAAAUCCUCAAUUAGUUCUUGUUUUCCACCAAUAUUUUAAGAAUAAAAAUAUUUUAUUAGAUGUUUAGACACUCCACAAUUAUAAUAUUUUAUUUAAGUUUAAAUUUUUAUUUUAAAUAUCGAAUUUUAUGGAGGUUGACGCCAUCAUACCUUGGAAAUUCAUGUUUAUAUGUUUUUGUUUUCUAAUAUGCAUGUUUAAAUAUAAUGUUCUUAUAGCAUCAACUUCAUUAUCUACCUGCAUUUUUUUAAAUUUUAAAUUUUUUUAUUGAAUUUUUUUUAAAAUAUUUUUUUUAAAAAAUAUAUUAUUUUAAUAUAUUUCUAAACAAAAAUAUUUUGAAUUGCAAUGGCUAUUAUAAUCACAAAUAUAUUUUUAUGAUUUGCGAGGUAUUUGUUUUGCACCUGUUUUUAUGUUUAGGAUGAAAAAAAAUAAAACAAAUCAAAUUUUUAAAAACACUAGGUUUCCAAACAAGAUAACGCAUCAAGAAUCAUAGCAAUCCGACAUAUGAGAGGAAAGUUGUGAUUAUAUUUUUAAAGUGCAUCCAAGAUGUUUCUAAGGACAAAAAACACUACUACCUUUAGAGUGAUUUUGACAAUGCAGAAGGAACAUGGAUGUUGUUAUUUUAAAAAUUUUAAAGUAUUUUUAUUUAUAAAUAUAUUAAAAUAAUAUAAUUUAAUAUAGAAUAACUCAAAAAUUAAGACCAGUCUUCAAUCUUCACAAACUUUAAUAUGUAUUAAGUCAAAUUUGUGUAAUUAAAUUUAUCAAGUUUGCUUAAUUAAGAUGGAAUAUUUAUGACUUUUACAUGAUAAGCUUUUAUUGAUAUUCUAUUUUUAUUGACAGUAGUGUGCUUUUAUUUAAGAGGUUCUUCAGUCAAUGAGUUUAGAGUACAAUGAACGCCAUACUCCGUUCUUUCAAAACUUUUCAUGAUCUACAAAAAGUUUAAUUUAAUUAAUUAAAUUUUAAAUUUAUUUUUAAAAAUUAUCAAUUUAAAUUCCAAAAAUUUCAGAACCACUGAUAAUUUAUAUAGUCGUUAAUUUCAGGACUUGUAAAAUUAAUCAAGAUAUACACAAGCUAACUCGAAUAUAUUCGUUAGUAAAAAAAAAAACAUGAUCGGGCACUCUUCCAUAACCGUGGAAACAUCUCGCUCCUCCCCCGUCAAUGCUAAGGGUUGUUGCAAAGUAAAUAGGAAAGUUCGUCCAUAGACAAAUCUUUUCUGAUCGGGUUGUAAGAAUAUCUAGACCAUCUAAAAUCAGAAUCCAUUUCUGUUUCUCCAUUAUUUCUUUUUUCAAUUCGACCACUCUAUGCAGCUCCUCAUCUUCAUUAGAAAUAUUUAGACCAAUACGUCUUUCAAUUCCACCAUGUUCUGCACAUCACACAUAAUGACAUCUUUGUUUAGCGAUUGGAGCCCAGAGUUGAUCAUAAUAUAUAUCUUCCAUGGUCAAGACACAAUGGAUCUGUUGGUUGAGAUGAAUCUCCAUCACAGCCCAACAUCAUUAGGUUAUCUGCCAUCCCUUUCAAGAGAAGAAGAUUUCGAAUCAGUCCAUUCAUUCCCAUCUGUAGGCAUCUUUCUCAAACAUUAAGAAAAAAAAUGAAAAAUAAAUAAAAAAGGAAAAUUUUUUUUAUCUUAAGCUAUAUAUCCAACACUCACUUGAAAGAUAUUAAUAACCAUGUAAGCAAUUUACUUGUCAGUAUUUGACAAGGGGUGAGAGAUAUCGAAGACAAAUUAGAGUACACAAAUAGAAUGUAUUAGGUGAAUUGCCCGCGCGGUGCCGCGGGUCAUAACAUGAACUGAGAAAAACCUAAUUAAAAGCACUGAUAUCGAACUAAGCAACCAUAUGCAGUAGGCUAUUUGGCUGCCAGAACAAUUCAAAAAGGGCCUCAGAUUAAACAUCCCGAGGGCAAAUGUAAACACAUGAAAUUUUCAAAAAAGAAUAGUAUAUUUAUGCAUGCUGUAAAUUUAAAGGUUAUGAACUCUAGUAGGAUUAUAUUUAAAAAAAAAUUAUUUAACAAUAUAAUAAAAAUAGAUAAUUAUAAAAUUAAACACCAGCCCAAUAAUAAUAUAUAUAUUUUUAGGCAGCAAUAACAUCAUACAAAGAAAAAUAAAACCAAUUAUGGAACUAAAUUCUAAACCAACCCAAAUAUUAAAUAGACAUUUUUUUAAAAAAAAUUGAUAACCAAAAAAAAAGAAAAUAAAAUAAAAAGCAAAACACUAUAAACACGUGAAUAGCAUUUCUCCCACACCGUUUAGAUUUUUAAAAAAAAUUAAUAAGCAAAAAAAUACUUCAUUAAACCAGUAAACUAGUAUAAAACAUGUUAAUUUUAUAUAAAAAAAAUUAAAAUUAAAAUAAAUAAAUUAUAAAGUUAAAUUUUAAAUCACCAAUGUAAAAUAAACAAAAAUAAAAGAAAAAAACAAAAGAAAUAAAACAAAACACAUUGGAUUACUUAUUAUAAUUACAAUGAAAUGGGUGUGAAUACGUCUCUUAACUAUUCGUGAGCUUCUUAUUCGUUCUUAGUUUUUCUUGUUUUUUUUUUUCUGGUGGAAUUCCCACACGUCUUCUUUGUGGGCAGCCCCACUUUUAAACCCACUUUUUCUUCACGUCCCCAUGGUCCCCGUGUCCCACAUGUUUUCAUCAAAAACCUAAAUUUUAGAACUUCUUUGGCAGCCACGUACAUGCUUUAGUUUUUUAAAAAAAUACAAUCAUCAUCAGAGACUAUUUUAUAUACGGGGGAGCUUGUUUUGAACGCGGUAGUAAUGAUAUUUUAAAGUAUGUAUUAUCUAAAAAUAUAUAAAAAUAAUAUUUUUAUUUUUUAAAAAUUAUUUUUAACGUUAACACAUUAAAAUAAUCUAUAAAUAUAAAUGAAUUAUUUAAAAAAAUCAAAAAUUUUAAAAACACAAGCAUUCCCAAACAAGGUAACGCAUCAAGAAUCAUAACAAUAUGUGAGUGGAAAGUUGUGAUUAAAAUACUUGAAGUGCAUCCAGGCUAUUUCCAAGAAAAAAAAUUUUACUACUUUUAGAGUGAUUUUGACAGCGAAGCAGGAAAUGUAAUUAUUGUUAUUUUUAAAAUAUUUUUUAUUUAUAAUUUUAUUAAAAUAAAGGUUGUUCGUUUCGUUUUAUUUGUAAUGGUUUCAUAUUAAUUUAAAAAAUAAAAUAAAACAAAAUAAUUUUUAUCUCAUUUUAAAUCUCAGUCCCUUCUUGAUUUUUUGGCUAAAUUUAGUUCAGAAUGUUCCGGUUUUAUUCCACAUGUUCUGUUCCGAUCUUAAAAAGCCAUUAAAUCAAAUUGAACCUAGUUCAAUUAAUUAAUUAAACCAUUAAAGUAUAAAAAACACUUUUCAUUACUAUUUUCAUUAACUAUGAUAUUAAUUUUUUAAAAUUAGAUUUAUUACUAAUAUAUAUGGUUUAUAUUCAUGUUGUUUUUUUUCAAGUUUAUACUUUGUAGGAAUUUAAGCAAAAAUAUGGAUGUUUUAGAUCUCAUUGGCCUUGAUAACAUUGACCUAUUUUUAUAUUUAAAUAUUAGUGUAAAAAUAUUUUAAUUUCAUGAUAUUUUAAUAUUUUAUUAAAGUUAAAUUGUUUUAAGUUAAAAAAUUAUUUAAUCUUAUCUAUUUAAAAAUAUUUUAAAUUUUAAAAUUAUAUUUCAUCACGUCUACAUGAUCCCCUUUGUGUCAAAAACAAAUUGCCUAAAUUUUAGGCUUUAGCAGUUCCUUUUUUGAAAUCCUCAUUAGUGAAAUUUCACGACUGCUUUGGCAAUUCCUUUUUUGUGUGCUUUCAUCUUAAACUUGUGACCAAAAGGUAAACACAAUAAAAUUUUAGAUUAUAAUUAAAAAUAAAAAAGAUAAUAAUUAUUGGGAUCAGAAUUUUAGAAAUCACGCAUAUUCUACUUUCUAGUUUUAGUAUUAAAUUUAGUAUUUAAAAAUUGUGUUUAUGAAUAUGGCAGUUUCAGGUUUAGAAACCAAAACUGCCAUAUUCAUACUCUCUUAAGACAUUUUAAAAAUGUUAUCAUUUAGGUGGUGGCCUAGUGGUAAGAACUUGGGACCAAGAGGUUUGCUCCCUUUAUGGUUUCAGGUUCGAGCCCUAGGUUGCUCAUAUGAUGGCCACUGGAGGCUUACAUGGUCGUUAACUUCAGAGCCCGUGAGAUUAAUCAAGGUGCACGCAAGCUGGCCCGGACACCCACAUUAAACUAAAAAAAAAAAUGUGUGUAGAAAAAUACUUUCAGUGAUGAUUUAUAAUAAUGAAUAGAUUUAAUAUUUUAUUAGGUUACUUUAAUGAUAAAUCAAUAUAGUAUUUUUUUUAUUUUUUGGAUUUUCAUCUUGGGGAACUCAAUAGGAUGAAAAUAAAAUAUUAAUCAAACUUAAAAUUAUAAUUGUUUAUCUAUCGAAGUAAAAAAAAAAUAUGACAAUUCAGUAGUCUUUAAUGAAAUAAAAUUAAAAUAAAAAAUGUUAUUUAUGUCAUUAUAAGCACACUAUAUUAUAUUACUUUACAAAGGGACGAAGGACAUCCUUUGCAUUAGGAUGCUCCCACUCCACUACUUUCUCCCACCAUUCUUCUGGACAUGCAUCGAUGUUUCAAAGAGAAGGGGGAGGAGAUGGUUGGCUAUUUUCAAGCAACGGAAGACAAAUUGGUAUCCUCUUCAGCUUCUCACAAGAUGUUACAUCAAUAUCUUUAAGAGAAUUACAAAUCAGUUUUGCACUGGAAAUGCUUUUCAGUUCUGGUAAGCAAACCAAUUCCAGAGUUAUUAACUUUGGGAGAAUGACUUCCGUGAUGGAAUUGGAGGUGCUGCUUUCUUCAUCUGUUGUUCCUAUUAUCUCCUCCAUUUUCUUACAGAAACUCAAUUUAAUCCUUUCCAGGUUUACGAGGUUUGGCAGCAACACAAGCGGGAACAGCUUCUUCAUACUUUUACAGUCAUAACAAAAAAACCUUUUAAGACCAGAAAACGUACCGUUACAUGAUGGCAAUCGUGGUGGAGCAGAGCAGAACCAAGAAGAUGAAACCAAGCUCUCCAUGUUAUGGCAUUCCCGAAUGCUGAUGCGCUCCAGUUCAGUUGCAUUCUCUAAUGAUAAAACAUCACAUAAACUUCUUGCAUCGAUGCAUUCACAAAUCAGUCCUUGAAUGCCAUUUAAGAACUUGACCUGAAAAUCUCUAUCUCCGUUGAUACUCAAAUUACCCAACCCAACUGUUUUACUUGGAAAAGUUUCAAUGCAUUGCUCUAAAUAUCUACCCACCUCUCCUACUAAAAUCUUGCAUGUGCUUAAUGAUAGGAUCCCAUCCCGAGAUCUGAGAUACUCCACGAAGUCAAAAAAACCUUCGAAAUGGCACUCCAAAGUUUCCAAAUUUCUCAAGGAUCCUACUUCCUUUCCCUUAACUGUUAUCGGAGCAUCAUCUUGCGGCAUAAACUCUUCUAGUACAAAGACUUGCAGGUGAGAGAGUUUUGGUAAUAUCCCACUAGGAAACUCCUUUUCACCACAUCCAUUCAUUAUAAGAUACCUCAGGUUGGUUAGGCAUUCCAUUCCUUGCGGCAUCUUUUCAAGCCUAGUAUAAGAGAGAUCCAACCUCUUCAGUGCCGUGAGCUUUUUUAAUGAUGGAACAUGUUUUAAUUGACCACACUUACUGAGCAAUAAGGCAGUAAGAUUCACCAAAUCAGAAACAGAAUCUGGCAAAUUUUUAAUACCUGUGCGAGACAGAUCAAGGACCAUGAGCCUAUGCAAUUGCUUGAAAAAUGAAUCUGCAACAAAUCCCAACCCUUUAUUAUCACAUAGAAAUAGAGUUGACAGAUUUGGACACACUGGUGAAUGGUCGAAAGGAACUUCUUCAAUCUCGUUUUGCAUUAGUGAAACUAUUGUCAGAUUCUUCGUCCACUCCUCUGCAUUUGGCAACUCUUUUAACUGCGCACCUGCUUUAACCAUGCCUUGAGAGUUCUCUAGCAGUAUUUGGAUGGCCAUGUCCCUAAUCAAGUCAUGCAUCUUGACACAUCUAAUAUCAUCAUAAUCCAUUUGAGCACUUUCCAAUAGGCAGACAUAUUCAAGUCUAUUAAGCAUCGUGUGGCCCUCGUCAAAUGCAUCUUUCCUGCUCCUCAUUCCUUUAAUUAUUCCGACAUCGAUCAAAUAACCUAUCAGCUGCUCCCUCUUAAUCCUAUGAUCUUCAGGAAAUAAUGCACAGUACAAGAGACAUUUUUGGAGUGCUGAAUCACCUAGCCGUUCAUAACUAAACUUCAAUAACUUGAAUAAUUUCUUGUCCCUAAAUUCUGAUGCACUCAAUUUCAUCAAUGUACUUCUCCACUCAUGUAGAUCAUCCACUCCCAUCAAGCUUCCUGCCAUUGUAAUAAUUCCCAAUGGCAAACCAGCACAUUCCCUUGCAAUAUCUUUCGCAAUUCCUUCCACUUCUGAUGAAAGUGCUAUGUCACGUCCAAGUUUCUCAAUGAACAAAGUCCAAGCCUCUCCCUCAGAAAGUGGCUUCACCUUGAUUUUGUGGUGGCAAGCCAUCCGAUGACAAACCGUUUCUGAUCGAGUUGUCAUAAUCAGAUUGCAUCCUUUCAACGGGAUAGGAAUUCCCACUUCGUCAAGCUCAAAAUUGUUCCACAAAUCAUCUAAAAUGAGAAUCCAUUUUUGUUUCUUUAUUAGUUCUUCUGAUAAUUUGGCAGCUCUAUGCAGAUCAUCAUCUUCGCUUGAAAGGUCUAGAUGAAGACGUUUAGCAAUAAGAUUCUGCAAUCUAUUAAUGCUGAAAUCUUGAGACACAGUCACCCACCAAACAUGAUCACAAACAUCUGGUCUUUGUAGAAGCUCAUUAUGGAUAUGUUGCAGUAUUGUUGUUUUACCAACUCCCCCCAUCCCAUAAAUGCCAAUGGUUGGGACUUCAUCAUCCAUUAACAAAGACCAUAUCACCUUCGUAUUCUCUUCAAAUGCUUGACCCACUGGCUUUGUGGAGCUAGUAGGUAAUGGAACUCCUCUAGUCUCACUUGAGUUGUAUUUAAGGCUUAUAGAAGAUCUAGCUCCAGCUUCAGGCUGCACUAAUCUCCCACUAUUCUCCACGCCCUCCUCCUCCACUGGUUCUGUCCUCACUCUAACCAUGUUCUGCACAUCAUACAUAACGACAUCAUUGUUUACUGAUGGAGCAAAUAGUUGAUCAUAAUAUCUUCCAUGGUCAAGACACAAUGGAUCUGUUGGUUGGGAUGAAUCUCCUCGAGGCUCAUCAGCUUGAUUAAUUGAUGGCCUCUCACCAGAGCUACCUCUCUCCAGAUGCUGCACUUGUUCUGUUCUCGCUACAGUUUCAAAUCCAUCAUGCAGACGCUCCACAUCCUCAUCUUCCUGCAUUAAAUAGGUAGAGAUUUCAUUCAGCUUCUGCUCCUUUGAAAGGGCAGAGUGUAUCUGAACCCAAGUGCCAUCAGCAAAUUGAUCCACUAAAUCUGUUCCUGGUGUUGCUUCUCCUCUAUUCUCAUGAGCAUCAACUCUGAGUCUCCAAGGAGAGUCACUUCUGUCAACAUGCUGAAAAGAUCCUUCACCAGUGUAUUCCAUGUCACCUUGUUCCAUGCCUUGAACUCCCGCUUGCAUCCUUCCAGCAUCCCCUGCCAAAUUAACAAGUACUGCAUUGUCUUGUUCUUGUGGACAGGGGGAAAUGGCAUAAUCAUUAACAUUGCUUGAACUUGCAUAGCUAGAAAAGCUUUUAUGUCUUUUGUUGCCAACAUGCAUAGCUAGAAAGGCUGCUUCUUGAACUUCUUGAGGCACCUGACCACAAAUGCCAACACCACGCCCUCUCU